rnacentral:lncRNA from 1 species
GUGGCGACACCUGUGAGUGGAGUACCGAGCCCAGAUGGGAUAGUGGGCCCAGAACCAUUUCUUUUCAAGUUUGAUCGAUUGGGUGUUAGGGUUCCCACCAUCGUGGUCUCGCCUUGGAUAGAGAAGGCCACUGGUAAGUGCUAUUUCCCUUUCAUUCCAACUCUUUCUUUUUUGGCCUUAUCUCUUCUACAAUUUCGUUCAUGGGAAUAUAUUAUCGGUUUUUUUAAAAGAAAUCAAAUUAGGAUUUUAUUAAGAGAAAACUGUAUAUAAAUAUGAUAUAGAUAAGUUACGUAUAUAAAUAAUUAAAAAAAAUUUGAUUUAAAGUUUUUGAUUAAGUUGACAGAGCAAAAUAUUUAUGUCAUAAGCAAUCACUUACUCUAAUGAAUGGCUAUUCAUGACCAUCGUUCAAUUCCAUGGUCUUUCUACGAGUGCGAUCUGAUUACCUUAAAAUUUUUUCCUUCUAUUAGAGAAGAGACCUACAGUUCUUUCUGUAUAACUAUUCAAAUAAUAAAAAGUCCUAGAUAAAAUCACCAUGGUGACAAUGGUAACUUAGAACUAAAUCUCGAGCAACAGUAAAUAUCAAUAUUUGGACGAGAAUAACAAAGAUUUAUAUACAAAUAUAAGAAUUAUUUAAAAAAAAUAAAUAGAAAAGGGAAAGGGACUACCAAUGAGAGAUCACCGGUUACUGUAGAAGAAGAAAAUAGAGCUUUUAGAUUUUGAGAGAUAUUUUUUUUUUAUAUAUAUAUAUUGUCCGGUUUUGACCUUUAGGACGUAAUUUUUUUUUUUUUUUUAAACUCAUACUUGGAGUAUUCUCUCAUAAACUACUAUAACAAUAAUUAAGCCCUCUUAAUUGUAAACCAGCUGGAGUGAAUUUUAUACAUUCUUUAUUUUUGUUCCUUCAUAAUUAAGUUUAUACUAAUGACAAUUUGUCUCUAUGUGGUACCGGAUGGACAUCUUCCUUUUUGAAUUUUUUUUUAUUUUUUUUUUUGUGUAAAUCAUCAUUAGCAGGGACCGACUAAUUUAGCUAGGGGCUUAGUUACAGUUAAUAUUCUUCACCUCUCCUUACAUGUGUGUUUAGUGGAUAUCGAACUUGAAAGCUCUUCUUAUAUAUCUAACCUGUGUUGCCAAUUGAGCCACAACACAUAGAAUUCCUUUUGAAUCUUUUGUUUCUAUUCGGCUACGUUCAUAACUAAGACUGAACUAAUGUCAAGAAGUAGAAGAUAUUUUGGUACAACAUGUCUCUCCAUAUGAUACAAGAUCCACUUCUUCUUAUUUUAACAUCAUCCACCAUUAAUGAAUUGAAUCCACAGACCGUGACAUGUUAGGACUCUGAAUAUUUUAGUUUAGUUUAGUCAUCAACUUACUAUAACCCUUCUUCUUUACUCGAUUUGGGGGAUAUGUUCUAUCGGGCUCACACAGGCAGAGUUAUUCUCCAAUAAACUAAUAGGGCUAAUUUUUUUAAAAUAAAAAAAAAUUAUAACAAAAAUAUUUAUUUUUUAAUUUGAUCCAUAAAUAAUUUCAAUCUCACUGAAUUGUAAUUCAUUAUUAAACAUAACAUUAGAUACUAGUAUUACUUGAAAGUAGAAGCUUUAAUCAACAGGAACACUUUGGGGAAGAGGGAGAGAAAGGGGAUUUGAACUUAGAUCUACUGUUAAGGUUGAAUAUGCACUUACCAUCAUAAUGUAAUACAAAAAUGUAAUAAAAUAAGAAUAAUUGGUACGGACUUUAAUAGAAGGAUGAGUUAUACAGAAUUAAAAUAUAUGGACUCUUAAAUUAAUUUUUAAAAUGUAAGUCUUAAUUAAUUGAGUAACUAAAUAAUAAAUUAUCCUGCUCAUUUUUUUAAAAAAUUAUUAAAUGAGGUGUGAGUAUGGAUUGUCCUAUUUAUAGAAGUGGAUCCCAUUACAUAGGUUAUAUAAUUGAACCCCUAUGUAAUGUGAACAUACCCAUAUAUUCUCAUUUAAAAAAAAAAAAAAAAAAUAAUAGGCCCAUCUCAUGUGCCUCAAAAUGGCUACAACACAUGUAAUUAGAGUUAUAUUAAAAAUUAAAUCAGAUGUAAUUUGAUUGAUUUUUUCACUUCUUAUAAAUAUAAGGAGUAAAUUAACACUAUUAAAUUGAAGUACUCUCUGUUAUAUAAACUUUGGUUGUGUUCGACAAUAAUUUUUUUAGUAAAUUCUAUUUUUUAUAAUAUUCGGUAACAUGACGUUUGAACUAGCUUUCAGAGGUUGAGAUAUUAUUUUAUAAAAUGUUAGCUCAUAUAACAUUUAGCUUGUAACGUUUUAUGAUAAGCUACUAAAACAGCUAAUAAUGCCAUUGAAAUAGUCAAUAAUUAUUAAAAUAACUAAUUUUACUGAACAGACUCUUCCAUUAAUUUAUAAGUAAUUUAAUGAGUAUUUUUUUCAAAGAGAAAAAUUAUUUGUGUUAUAUAUACUUUUUACAUAUAGUUUAGAAGAUAACCUCUAAGAUAAGUUAUUAGUUUAUCUGAAAAGAAUAAUACUAGUAAGAAUAAAACAAAAGAAGUUAAUUUAUGUAUGGGGUUAUAAUCCUUUACACAUUGCUUUUUUGAAAAGAAGAGAAUGUGAAACCUUUUAAAUUAUUAUGUUAUCUUAUUGAAAUUGUCAAAUGUGUGAUGUGAAAUGUUCUUCUGUAGGAAGUAGGCUCAACCAAUAAAUACCAGCCAAAAAGUGGCAAUUUUUUGGUCUCUUUUGUCCUUUUUCCCAACCAACUAUGCAUUGCUUAUUGUGAGGAAAUAAAUGGGUUGGUUAGGACAAUAGGCUUUUUCUUUUAGAACAUAAACUUUGAAAAUUGGAAAUAAAGGGGUAAGUGACUUUGAAUAUUGCCAAAAGCUAACAUGGUUGGCACUCAAAAGUAAAAAUAAGGGAGAGAGAUUCUCCUAUCUCAUGUUGAUAAAGCACCGCAAAGGUACCAAAAAGGAUAAAUCAAGAGAAAAAGAAAAUGAGUUUUGUUUUUCAUUUUCCUACGAUACCCUUAUUUAAUAAUCUUGUAAAUAAUUAAUACUCCCUCCGUUCUUUUUUUAUAUAGAAAGUUUUUAUUUUUUUGUGUUCUUUUUAUAUAUGAAAUUUUACCUAAUUUAGUAACUUUGGAAAUCAUGUCAAUUUGAAAAGUUUAUCUUACCUAGUUUUAGACCUUUGUGAAGCUUUUAAUAUGAGAGAUUCUCAAGAUAGUGGCAGACAAAUAAAUAGAUGAACAUUUAAUAUGAAUAAAUUUUGGAGAAUUAAUUUCUUACAUUAAUUUUCGUUAAAAAAAACUCAUAUAAGUGAUUUGAUUGUUGGUUAAAAUGGAGAUUAAAUAGAAAAUGGCUAUAAAAUUUUUAGAUGGAUCAUAAUGAAAGGAAUCCUUAUGGAUUUCGCUCGAAUAUUUGAAAAAUUGCAUGUUAUUUAAACUAUGUUUUCAAUAGUCAAAAGCAGUUGGAAAAUUAAAUGAGUACAAAUUAAAAAAUUUCACACAACUUUCCUAAAUAAAUGACUAAAAAAAAUAAAAUUUUUUCCACAAGUCAGAACAUACACUUUAUUUUUUGCAACUAUCUUUAUUUUUAUCUCCAACAAAGCAUUUAAAGCAUCAUUGAAGAUCAAAACAUAAUUUAAGGCAUGUAUUGAUAUUAGAGAAGGAAUAAAUGAGAUAUUCGGGAUGAAUUAAGAAAAAAAAGGGCAAAAAAAGUUUGUUAAACUACUUUCUUAAUUUUGGUGAAAAAUUAGUUGUUCCUAUAUAAAAAGAACGGAGGGAGUAUUAUUUAAAUUUGCUAGAUAGUGGGGAAAAACGUUUUACUAUAAUUAAUUUUGAAAUUUUAAAAUGUUGGUCUUCAUGAGAAGUUUUCAUAAUCAAUUCCAAAAAUUAAAUCAUCAAUAAAUUAUUAAUAUACAAUUUUUAGGGUCUAUAUAUAUAUAUAUAUAUAGAAAUAAAGAAAAGUUAUAGUUAAAUUAAUUUAAGUAAUUAUUCUUAAAUUGUGUGGAAAAAAAAAAAGAACUUAGACUAUAAUUUUUGAUUGACUAUAUAAGUUCAUCCUUGAGCUUCGUUAUUUCAACUCCUCGAUUUUUAUUUUGACAUAUUAAAUAUUUCAACUUGAAAAAUUAGAUCAAUUAAAUACUUAUUGCAUAGUUAAAAAAUAUGAAAAUUAUUAUUCCAAAAGUUACGUUAACUACACAUCAAAUCAAUAUUUUGCAUAUAAAUAUCUUAAAAAUUAUUGCUAUUAUUAUGUAAAGGUGCAAUGUUAUCAAAAUUUGCAAGUUCAAAUGCAUAAUAGGUUAUUCACAAAGUUCAGGAUAUCACAAAGUUAAAAUUAUAAAGUUAAGGGGUGAAUUUAUGUAUUUGGCAUAAUUUUGUAAAGGAAGUAUGUAUGUAUUAUAGAUUACAAUUAAUUAAUUAGGGUGGAAAAUACUUUGAACUUUACAUGUCAAUGAAAUUGCACUCCAUUUUUCCUUUAAUUUCAAUUAUAAAGUGUAAUUAAUUUCAUUUUCAGUCAAAAAUAGGGUGCAAUACAAACUUAGUGUAUUGUUGCUUAUUAAUUCUAUACAUGUAUCAUUUUCAAAAUCAAAUUCAUCUUAACACCAUUAUUUGUUAUACAUGUAUAUAAAAGUAAAGUUUAUUAAAAUAAACAAUGUUAUAAAUAAUAAUUACCUCUGUUUAAUUAGAUUUGACAUUUUUUUCUAUUUACACGACAUUUUUAAAAAAAAAUCAAAUAAUAUCUAUCUGUUUAUAUAAAUAUAUAAUUUCUAAGGUAUAAAUGCUUUUGUGGUAACAUAUUAGAAUAUAGAAGUGAUGAUAUGAUAGAAGUGAUGAUAUGACAUUUUAUUUUUCUAUUAUAAUUAAUAUUUUUUAAUUUUUAAUAAAAAUUAAUUUUGAUUAAAUAAUGGAGUUAUAAACUAAUAAAUGUAAUGAUGGAGGAUUUCAUUAUAAUUAAUAUAUAUUUCUAUUUAAUAAAUAUUAAGUUUUUUAUUAAAUAGUUUUUAUUCAAAUUAAAGCAACACAAAUAUAAACUACAAUAAUUUUUUUGAAAAUUACGUUCAAUUUAAUUAAAAGACAGAAAAAUAUAUAAUCCAUGCGUUGCGUAGGUACAUGACUAGUUAAUUAUUAUGCGUGAGAUGUUAAAAUGUGUUGGCAUGUCAGGUUCGACACAAAUUCGCCUAACACACGAUACAAUUAGAGUCAGCACGAACACGACCCAUUUAAUAGUUGUGUUGUAUAUUUAAACACGAUCAUGAUACAAAAUUAAAUGAGUGACAUGAUUAUGACACGAAAAUUAAACAAGUGACACAAACACGACACGUGUAACCCGUUUAAUUAAAUGAGUGAUAUAUGAGUAAAAAAUUUAACCAAAUUUAAUUGAAUGGAUUGUAUACGAGUCAGAACACGACAUGCGUAACACGUUAACCCCCAUAACUCACUUAAUAUACAUAUUUUAUAUGAAAUUAUAUUUUUAUGUUUAAAUAAACGGGAUCUAUUUAAACUCGUGUGAUAUACGGGUGAUUUGUUUCCCACAUGAAUCUAUUUAAACUCAAUCCUAACUCGUUUAAUUUCUAUAUUAGGCGAAUUGUGUUCCCGUGUCAAUAAUCCAUUUUGAUACCCUAAAUACAAUCAGGGUAUACUUCCUUAGAAGUAACUUUUUUAUAAUUAUAUUUCUCUGGAAGUGAACUUCCCAGGAAAUUGUUAAUUCGAACCAAAUGUGGCUGAACUUAGAGUAAAAUGAACCUACAUUGGCAGUUUAGAGUCUUUAGAGUAGGGGAUCAAACUGAUAAAAUUCGUAGAACUCUAAAAAUUGUAGGUCUUAUUAUUAAUUAAACAUUAAAAGUACUAUAGUAAAUCUUUUUUUCCUUUUUUGAAUUUUGGAUAAUUGAUAGAACUGAUUUGCCUAAUUACUACCUCUUUUUCAUAAUACUUAUCACAUUUGAAAAAUUAGUUCAUUUUAAAAUACUUGUUACAUUUGUGGUUUCAAGGAGUAACAAAAUUUUUUUUCCGUGUUUACCCUUUGUACAUGACCAACAAUUAUUACUUCAAUUUAAUGAUUUUUUAGAGAAUUAAUAUUAAAUUAAAGGUAACAUGGUCAAUUUACUCAAUAAUUUAUUGUAACUUAGAUAAAUUUACAAUUUUUUUUAGGGGACGUCAAAGAAAUUUCAAUUAGAGAUAUAUUUAUACUAUAUAUAAAUGUGGGAAUGGGGGAAAUAAUGAGAUUUUUGAUAUCGUCCUUAAUAAAAUUUGGAAUAUCCUAAAAUAGCCUUAGUUGUAGUCAAUUCGAAAAUUAUAUUUUAUACCAACGAGUGUCUGGAUGAGUAGUUUAACACUCUUCUCUCUAAACUGAAGUCAAGAAUUCGAUCCUCAUGGUUUAAACAAAUACUUACUUAGAGCACUUUACUCUUUCGUGGGUUGAUCUAGUACGAGCAGGACUUAGAUCUAGUCCAAUUGGCUCGGGAUACAUGUGGUUAAGAAAAAAGAAAAAUUCUAUUUUAUUAUUUGAUUAGAUAUAAUUUUUAAAAGUUAUUUUUUGAAUAAAAUAUACAUAGAUAAUAAUAAUAAGAAAGUAUACUCUUUUUUUUCAAGAAUUUUUGUGUAUGUUCAUAUAUUCAUUUCUCUAAUGCACUGGGUAAGUAAUACUAUUACUAUAGCCAAAAUGACUACUAUUAUUAUUUCAAAUUAUCUUCUCAUUUCUUUUCUUUUACCUACAAGUAAAAAAUAAUUCAUUAUUACUUUCAUUAUAGACGGUAUAUAAAUAUUGAUUUGAAAUUGAGUGCAAAGGGUUGAGGAUUGAGUGAUGACUUGAUUUUAUUUUUGGGCAUCUAUCAGAGUUUUAAGAAUAUGCAUUUAUAAAUUAAAGAUUGAAUGAUUAGGUAUAGGAAUUGGAUUGAACUUUAUUUUGAUAUCACUUCAUUAUGUAAAAUUAGAAUCAAGUAAAUAAGAAAUAGUAUUAUAAAUAGCUUAUAUAUCAAAGUUUAAUACAAAUUAACCAAUUGUAUUUAUUUUAAUCUAAAUAAAAACUUAUGCUUUAAUAUUAUAUAAAUAAAAAAAUUAAAAAAAUAUAAAAAAUAGAAUAUAACGAGUAUUGUCAAGACGCAAUAUAAUGUGGUAGAAAAGACUAGUAUAUAUUAAUAAUGGUAAUUAUGCAGUUGUUCACGGCUCAAAUGGAUCACCAUUUCCGACAUCGGAAUAUGAGCAUUCAUCGAUUCCGGCGACAGUGAAGAAGCUCUUCAACCUGUCCUCUCCUUUCCUGACUAAAAGGGACGAAUGGGCUGCCACCUUCGAAUCCAUUAUUCAGAAACGGACUGAGCCCAGAACUGAUUGCCCUGGUUAGUUCAAAAUCUGAAUAUUACGUCUUUCUCCAAAUAGUAAAAACAUUUAUUUUCCAGAAAACGAUUUUCUUCUAAAACAACGUAAGAUUUUCAUCUAGUUCUAGAAUAUUAUCAAGAUUUUCAUUUUGUGUUGAUAAAUUUUCCCAUCUUGAUAGUGCAACUACCAACUCCAUCGAAGAUCAGAAAAGGGGACGCCAAUGAAAAUGCAAAGCUUAGUGAAUUCCAGCAAGAGCUAAUGCAGCUAGCAGCAGUGCUAAAAGGAGAUCACAUAUUGACAAGUUACCCUCAGAAUAUAGGGAAACAAAUGACAGUGAAGGAAGGAAAUGCAUAUAUGGAGGACGCUGUGAAACGUUUCUUUGAGGCUGGACUUUAUGCGAAAAAAAUGGGAGUCGAUGAACAACAAAUUGUUAAAAUGAGGCCAUCUCUUACUACCAGAUCAUCUAAACCAACCAUCAAUAACCCAUAGAAAAAUUUUAUGUUAGUAUACAUCAGUCAUCAUAUGUAAGCACAGAAAAUAGAAAGUAAAAGAGAAGAAACAAAUAAUGUCAUCUCCAUAUUUACUGGUAAUGGCAGUGCUUUAAUACUGAAUCAAUCUUAACAAGGAGAACGCCACAAGUAAAUGAUCAAAUUCAGAUUAAGAGUUUAUUCUCAAAUUUUCUAAUUGAGACGACUAGGGGUGUGCAAAACCACCUUUGGAAUCGAACUAAACACCGAACCAAUCCAAUUCAGUUUGAUUCAAUCAGUUAGUGAAGGGAAGUUCGGUUUUUGAUUUGAACCAAAUAUGUUGUUUGCUUCGAGUCGGUUUUAUAGAAAUUUAUUGAUUGGAUUUAAAACCGAAUUAAUACGGCAAAAAUCAACCAUAACUGAUCGAACCGAUCGAUUCGAUAUGUUUACUUCAGAUACUAAUUCUGAUUUGAUUCGGUUUGUUGUCCAAAAAUUUCAGUUUAUAUAUAUAUAUAUAUUUUGCCUUAGUUCGGUUUAAACUGAACCAACCAUUUGCUCACCCCUAGCUCCCCUAACUCGACUAGACUCAAUUGCACCUCUGAGAAACCUCUAUUCUAAGUCAACGUGAGAUGUCCAUUUCAACCCGAUUCAUUUACAAAUGGAGCAAGUAUACAGACUUAUCAAUCCAACUUGGGAAAAUAUGAAUCUAACCCGAUUAAUUUUCCUUUUUAUAUAAAAAUAGGCUCUUUUUAGUGAUUUUAUGAAUAUUAACCCAACAUGACCCAAUUCCAUUUAAUCCCAUGUGGAUGCCUGAUGGAUAUUAUUUUUUUAUUACUGGAUCGGAUAUUGUAAAAUUUGAUCCAAAUCAGAUCUAUGAGCAUCUCUAGUCAACCGGCGAGAAAUUUACUAGUAAAAAUUCCUCAUAAUCCACAUAAUGAACUGCAAAAUGCUGAUAGUACUACAAACCUUGACAGCAGAGAAUUUUCCAUUUACAGGUCUAAAACAUUGGAAGAUACAAGAUUCAACACUAAUUUCAAACGUAGCAAAUGUGUACAAAAAGAAUUCAGAGGUCUCCAUGAUUAAAAAAUGUCAAAAUCCCUCCUAUAAUCUUUCAACAACUUUCCUAUUUUUCUAUCUAUACCACUCUUCUUUUACUGUGUAAAUGGUAUCAAUGAAUCUUCUUCACAAGGAUGCGUCAUACUGAACAAAGGAUCAACGAAUUUAUAAUCCAAAAUUCAAUUUCAACCGCUGUUUAUUGGAUCCCAACCUGGAAUAUUAGCAGUAGCUUCAUUUACCAUCUUUACAAGUCUCACCUGCACAUAAAUUCAUUCAAAGAGGGAGAGAAAGCCCAUAUGUUAUCUUCAAAUUAUGAUUUUAGUUUCAAGAAAGUGGGAAAAUAUAGUAUUAUUAAAGAAUCAUAGUUCAGACAAGAACAUAUUGCUCAAGUGUCACUUUAUCAGCAGGCAACACACUAGUUACUAUAAAUGGCAACUAAAUCACAGAAUCCUCAUCUUUGGCACAGCAAACCAAAUCUGGGUGAAAUUUGACAUUAUUUAGCACACCAAACUAAAUGUAUAAUGAGUUUAUUUAGUUUACAUACACUGGCUGACUAAUGAGAAAUGACACUGCAUAUGCAAGAUAACAUUCCAAAAUGGUUUCUGAUGAUGUUGUGGAAUAAAAAAAGGAGGAAAAGAACGGAAAAAAAAAAAAACAAAAGAAACUGCUGCAUUUAUUGGACAUCAAUUAAUUCCCACAAGUAAUUUUGCAACUGAAUUUGAACGAGACAAACCUAGUGUUUUGCUUUAUAUUCACGAAGAACUGUGGAAAGGUUAAACAUGUACGAAAAAGGAUUGAAUGAUUAGGAUAAUGGUCAGUGUGGUUUGGUUCUCGGUUAGAAACUGAGAAUUGCUCACCACUAGGGCUGGGAGUAUUCCUGGUUCAAGUUAUACUUACUAAGUUCACCCAUUAAAUAUAAUUUAGUUUCAAAUGUCUCCAAAUUUUGAUUUCGCAAAAGGUCCUUAAAGAAAGAAAUAUACUAAAUAGACAUACCACACUUUCAGGAACUCCUGGUGGGGGUAAGGACAGGUUCUUUGGCGGAGGACCACUUAGAUAGGAUCUCUUAUCGAAUCGCCAUUCUCCAAUUGUUCCAUAUGUUAGUUUUCCCUGGGUGACAACCGAAUUGCAAUAAACAGAAUGAAAGGUUGGCUAAGUUUAACAGUAAUUAAUCUUGUCAAAAUUUUCAAACAAAAGCAAUCAAGCAAAAAAAAAAAAAAUUUACCUUGAGAUCAUAGUCACAUCCAUAAGUAUAGUGAAUGAUAAACCUCUUUCCAACUUCCAGAUCCCAUGGUGGCUGAAAAAUACACAACAUUAUGUAAUAAUUCAAUGUAAAUAGCAAAAUUAAACAAGAAUUGAGUAUCAUGGAUACCUGUAUCAUGAAGUCCUUCCGAAGUAUAUGCCGAACACCAUGCAAUGCUGAUGCUACAGCGUAUGCAUACCUUAGUACAACAAAGACAUAUCAGAAAUGGGGAAGCAUAUUUCAGCCAUUCAAGAUCAACAUUUCUCAAUAAAAAAGAAGUGAUCUAAAAUAUUACUCACAUUUCUAGCACCCAACCAAAUGCCUUAUCAGUCUCUGGAUCAUCUUUCAUUCUCAAUGAGAUAUUCACCCAUGUUGGUGAAAUUUCCUCCAGUAGGGACUGGAAUAGAUAGUUUAGUUCACAUGUUAAUAAAUCAAUAUUGUCCCUGGUGAAAUCAAACAUUUCAACAGGAAAAACAAGAGUGACACAUCAAUGAGGAGAAGGAAGCAAUUCUUUAUAAACAAUCAUCUCCACCUCCUUGAUUCCGCCUUUGAAAUUUUCUCUCUUUCUUUACUUUUAUUUUUCCAAUUCUUUUUGAGCUUCUGAUGAAUGAAAAUUGAAUGGACUAUAAUGUAAUAGCAACAAAAGUUCUACCUUUUUUAUAAUCACAGGAGAGUUGCCAAUUGGAUCAACAUUUGUCACAGGGCCCUGUUGUUCCGGAUAAAAUUUUCUAAUAAUUUUUUCAUGUUCAGUUGGCUUAAUGUAGAAAAAUGGAUACCCAGCUGGAUGUUCUCCAUGUGCCAAGUUAGGCAAAGGAUUUACAAAUAUGUGGUCAGGCUCAGCCAUCAAAACAUACCUGCAUAAGUUAUAAAUGAUUUAACAUUCAAAUGUCAUAAACAAGUAGUAAGAAAAACAUAAAACACACAAAAGAUAAUGACCAUAAUAAUAAAAAUAAUAAUAAUACUAAAACUCCGUUUGUUUCCAAAAAAUAACUUACUUUUAGAAAAUAUUUCCAACAAAAAUGUUUUCUUAUAAAAUACUUCUCAAACAACUCAUUUUUGUUGUUUGGUUGCAAUAUUAAUACUUCUCAAACAACUCAUUUUUGUUGUUCGGUUGCAAUAUUGAAAAUUAGUCCAAAAAUAUUAACAAAAUAUUAAUUUAUUGACCAAAAAUAUUUAGCAUUAUAGUUUUCAUAUUUUAAAAUUUAUUGUUAAAUAUGAAAAAAAAAAAUGAUAAAAUGACAAAUGGCCAAUGACUUGGUGGUGGUUGGUAACUAAUGUUGAUUUGCAAUGAUUGAUAAUGGUGACCACUAGUGAUCAAUAGAUUAAUAAAUGUGUGUUUAUAAGAUUAUAGUAAGUUUAUCAAUAUUUGAAAAAUGUUUUCUUCUUUCAAAAAGAAAAAUUCAUUUUCCUUUAAAAUGACUUGGUUUUCCUUUUGACCAAGAAAAUAUUUUCCGUUGACUAUUUUCAUAAAUAUCCUAAAUAUAAAAAAAUCCAACAAAACUUUUCCAAGUAAAUUAUUUUAUGGAAACAAACGGAGCAUAAAGGUAGUGAGUUUAGAAUCUCACUCUUCAUCAAUUGUUGCUUUUUCCAGCCAUUGCACAAAAGCCCAUGGUCUGUUUAAGACAAUAUAACCCUGGAUACAACAUGAACUACUGCAUCAGAAUGAUUAACAAACUAUCUAAUAGCAAUAAACUUAGGAGCAGUGACUGCUUUCUGCAAAAAGAUAGAGAAACAGAAGGGUAGCAAAAAGGAUGUGGCAGAAUUUAAGCUGUCUAAUAUCCUUUGGUCAACUUCAACGUAGAAAAAAUGAUAUGUGUAUGCUUCUCAACUUUUGGUGGUUCUGUAAGUAAAGCUAGAUGCAUCAAAACAUAUAUAUGUUUAAUUUAAACAGUGAUUCCUUCUUAAUUCAAUUACUUUUUCAUACUCAUGUUAUUGCACCUUUUGAGCAGAUGAGCUUCUCAUCAUUUUUUAAAUAGCGUAACUUAAAUCAUGUGAAUCUUUGGUAUACAAUAAUAUUGCAAAACAAAUAAUAUCGCUCCAAAAAAUAAAAGUACUUAUGGCAGAAAAAUUUAUAAUGUAAAUCAUAAAGUAAAAAAAGUAGUCCUGCAACAUAAAGAGGAAAUCUUAAGGAAAAAUGCAAAAUAUAACUCUCAAUAUCUUAAACUCCAGUGAUAUUACUGCUAAGGCUAGCCAUAAUCUAGUGCUUUGUAGACCCUCCAAUAUUAACUUCUUGGAAUCUUUGACAAAAUUUUCAAUGGGAACAAAAUGCAAAUGUUGGAAGUACUUUGAUAUUGAGUUCCAACUUCCCUUAAUGGACAUUAGCGAUCUAAGGUGUACAGUGAGAAACUUGGAAUUGCAAGAAAUAAAAGGAAGAUGCGGGAUUAACAUAUCGAUUUGCUUUAAGCCAGCAAUCUAUUAUCGUUCAUUCAAAUAUGACUUUUUUGCUGCUGUUGGGACUAGCCAUUAUAGUUCAUUCAAUUCAUACAAUCAAUUCGUAGCCAUAUGACAGUUAAAAUCAUAUUAAUGGAUAAAUGAGCUUAUGAGCAAAAUAAAAAUCACAGAAGUGAGAAUGAUACACAUAAAUUCUAACUCGCAUUAUUUUGUUAUCAAUAUAUGGCAUUUAAAUGUAAAUAUGAGAAACUGAGAAACUGAAAAACUGAUCAUAAGAAGACUAACCCGAUCUAGCCCCUCUGGAAGAGGAUCAACAACAAAGGUUGGAAUCUCAUCCAUCAAUUGGUCAGCUUUUCCAGAAUGGAGAAUUCGAGUGAACUUUCCCAUGUCUGAUCCAGGCUCAUCUUUCAUCUUCUUAUACCAAUAGAACAUAAUCCGGCAUUGCCACUGGCUAUAAGGAGCAUCAGUAGCUGUAAGGGCAACAUGGUAUCUUGAAUUUGAAUUCCCUAAUCUCUUCACUUCUUCAGGCAUCCUUGUAAUGGGAUCAGAUAACUCCAAUUCAUCUCCUGAAUUUGAGCUAUUAUGCAUUACGAAUAUUAACAAGUUAUAUGUGGCAAAGAAAAACCCAAAGGACAAAAGCACCAAAAAGAACGGCGAUACUCGCCCCAUAUUUUUCCUCCCAAUCAUCUUGAAGUCCAGAGUUAGAAAAUGAAUUCCAACUCCUCAGAAGGUUAGAAAAUGAUUGCCAACUCCUCAGAAGUCACAAUUCAAUAGAACCUAAUUCUGUUACAAACAACAGCAUUUAAACUAAAGACAGAUUCCACUUAAACCCAUUUCAUUUCACAGCUCCAGAAAACAAAUUGUAGCAAAUAAAACCUCUAUAUCUUCAUGAAGAAUGUCCAGCGGAGCCUAUGAAAACCCGAAGAGAAACAAAAAGAGCAUGCACCAAUCUGCAUCACAAUCAACAUAAAGAAAUUAUAAGACUCAAUGUUACAAAACAAUAGCUAGAACAAAAACCCAGUUACAAAACACAACUAAAUCAAGUGCCAAACAAUCCCAGUUGUUAAAGAAUCAAGAAAAUGAGAAUCCACUUAUUACCCAGAACUCAAGUUGGUGAAUAAAUUAGUAUAUACAGAUCUGAUAUGGCUACUUAAAAAAGGUGUUAUCUCAAUGAAAUUUGACAUAGAAAAAGAACUAAAAGAAUCCACAACAGCGAAAGAAAGAUCAAAGAAUUAACAGGAAAAAAAAAUUCCGAAAAACAAAAAAUUAAAGAAUGCAAGAGAGGAGAAAGCGCAUUUUCACCUAAAGGAGUAGUGAGUGAGGCUUUCAAAGACGGAGAGAAAGAGGGAUUUUGGGUUUUUGUCAACGGUUUGCUGGACAACGCGGAUGUUUGACAAAUUGCAACCGAAACAAAUUGAAUCCAACGUUUAUCAUCAUUUACGGUGCCAUUUUUAUGGUAUGUCCUAUUGGGCUAUUGUUGAGUUUUAUGCCUUACUUAUAAAAGCUCGGGGCGGGGGGUAGGUUGGUGGAAGGCUGACUUGGAGAUGAUGAGGGAUGUGGCGACAAUUGGAUUUGGUGAAAUCCUCCUUUGUCGUUUUCUUCUAAUCUAAAUGAUUUUUCAAAAAAAGAAUUUGGGAGUUUGCAUUUCGUUCCUCUAAAUAAGGAAUGUUAGUUUCAGUGCUCUUUAUAUGAACUGUUUACCGCUCUUUUUGCUAUCAAUUUCAUAUCAAUUAAUUUUUUUAACAUAAUUUAGUACCUACUAAUGUAAAAAGAGAAAAAAAGUAAUUUUUUUGAUAAGUGAAUUAAAACUAUUUUUGUAUUUUUCAAAAGAAUUUUAUAUUUUUUAUAUAAUAUCACUUGACAACAUAUAUUUUUAUUUAAUUUUUUUACAAGAGUUAAAAAAAUUCCGGCUAUAUGCGCCUAGAAAAGUCCCAUGCCUAAAAGAGGAGGAGGGUUGGUAUACUAACAGUCAACGCAAAGAUCACUAAAACACACGUCGUUAUGAAUCAUUUCUUUAAUUCUACAAAACACAGUUGGAUUAUGCCCAUCUAGGCACGUGCUACAUUCACACCUGGAUAUAAUGUUAAAUGAACAAGGGGUUCCAUCAUAUGAGCAAGGGUUAUCACACCAAAGACAGGUUUUUAAGUUUUCUAAAUUUUUAAAUUUAAAUUUGCUUUAAUUUAUAAUAAUUAAUCGACUAUAUUAGUUUACUAAUGGAGAAUAUGUUGCAUAGAAGGUGUUUGAUGUUAGCAAUUCUUUUUUUUAGUCUAUUUGGUUUCUUCUGUAAAUUAACGGGGUAGUAUUGCUAUAUUUCAUCGUUAAUUUUUAAAUAAUUUCUUGAAUGAGACAAAUAUUGCUAUCCAAAAAAAAAAAUUAUUUCAUCUUAAAUCAAUGUUUUGGAUGGUAAUUUUUUGAAGGAAGGGUGCGAUAUAUAUUUCUUAAAAUUUUUUGUUUAAAUAGAUAAUUAAAGAGAUUAGAAUUUGACAAGUGAAUUCUGGUAUUUACAACUUGAAAGAGUGAGAAAAAAUAGGCUUUUUUAAAUGAGUAGCUUUAUGAAUAAUCUAUGUCUAUAUUCUCCUCUAAGAAAGAAGGAGCAUUGUUCCAAACAUAGAAGCUAGCAUAGUUACAUGCUAAUCCUUUGAAUUUGGUACCACCGGGUAUCAUACUUAACAACAUUUGCUACCUAAGGUUAUUCACUUCCAUAUGCACUGGUCCCGAUCUUGCAUAGAAAGUCAUUUGACAACCUCUCUCAAAACAAUAUAUUCUGCUAUAACUGGAACCACAAUCCCGGGGAAGUAACCAAAUUUGGCAAUAAGGAACAAAUCAUCCUGGUUUGGAAAUAUAAUAGUAAAAGAGUAUCUUUAUUGCUGCAGAAAAAUUGCCCUUAACAACUCCAGUCAGAAGUCAGGUCUAGGUGUUACAAAUGACUCGUGGUGCAGUAUGACCUUGUUGAACAAUAUCAAUCUGCCUUGAAGAUGUGACAAUGUAGUAUGGAGAGCACUACCUUUGAUUCCAUAUAUAAUAAUUCCUUGCAUUCCAUAUAUUCCAUGCAAGCAUUGCAAAUGUGGCAUCUCAGGCCUAGUAAGAUAUUGUCCACUUUGGGCUGAACCCAUUUAGGCCCGCACGGGUUUGUUCCUGGGCUAAAACCAACUUAUAGCCCAAAAGGCCUCUUACUAGUCUAAGACCAGCCCUUCCUUAUGUACUUCACUUCCACCUUAUACUUAACCGAUUACAAUUCACCUAGGGUGUCACGGUAAAUUUUUCCAACUCGUCAUUGCCCAUAUCAAAAAAGUGAUAUAAAGACAUUAUAAAAUGAUUCAUAGUUUGAUGGCACAGUAACAUCAUUAUCAAGAAGCUAAUAUGAAUGCACAUGAGAGCAAUAGAAGAUGGCAUGGCACAGAUCUUAUCAACAUUGCACAAAGGACAUGUCGGUAAUAUAUUAACAUUUUUAUCCACUAGUCUAGCAUUAUUAGGGACAAUAUUUUUAUAGGCACACCAUAUGAAUCUCAUGGCCUUAAGAGGAAGCUUCAGACUCCAUAACCAUCUCCAUACAGGCCCCCUAAGAUAUCUGGCUUGCGAAAGAAAGCCCAUGACAACACAUUGAUAUCCUGACUUGACAUUAUAUCUAGCAUGAGUCGUCCAAUGCCACACAAUAUUGUCUUUCUAAAGACCUGUGAUAUGCAAGUAACGAUAGAAUCUUGAUAACAUCAUAAGGAAGAAACAAACCCUUUAUCAUCAAUUUGUUCCAGUGCCCUACAAUAUCUUUUAAACCCGCCACUUUAAGAUCUUUAAAACUAGAAAUCAUUGGUGAACUAACCGAGAAUGGACCAUCAUUAGCUAACCAAGGACAUUUCCACAUAUUAAUAGAGGUUCUUGAGCCAAUCUACCACCGAACACCAUGCUUUAAAACCUCAACAACUUUAACAAGAUCCUUCCAAACAAAACUAGGAUUUGAACCUUCAGUCGCGUAAAAAAAAUCCACUUUUGAAAAAUAUUUUACUUUGAGAACAGAAAAUAGAAGGGUGGUUGGAGAAAAAAGUAGUCGCCAACCUUGUUUAGCCAAAAGAGAUAAAUUAAAAGCACGAAAGAGUCUAAAGCCAACACCACUAGAGACCUUACUAUGACACAUGCUUUCUUAUAAUAGCCAAUGGAUGGAUUGACUACCAUCAAGCUUUGAACUCCAUCAGAAUGAGUUCAUCAUCUUCUGCAACUCAUCAGCCAAAGAGAGUGUGAGCAGAAAAACUCUCAUAGAAUAAGCCGGUAAUGCUUGCGUGAUAGCAUCUUGAAGUACCAUCUUACCACCUUGGGAUGAUAACUUUUGCUGCCAACCACAUAUAAGAGACGAAUACAAUCCCUAAGAAAAGAAAACACAACUCUUUUAUCUCUACCAACCGGAGAUGGAAAACCUAAAUACCGACCAUGAUCAAGCAGACUAAAAAUUUCCAAGAUUUGAGAAAUCCAAGCACAUCUUCCAGCAUUAAUGUUUAUGCUAAAAAAUAUCCUACACUUUUACAAAUUAGCAAGUUGACCCUAAGGAACCUCAUAAAUUUGUAAAAUCCUUUUAAUACCUAAAGCCUCCUACUCAUUAGCUCGAAAGAAGAAAAAGCCAUCAUCGGCAAAUAAUAAGUGGGUAAUACUAGGUGCAUCCCAAGCCAUAGAACAUCCAUGAAUACUUCCAUUACUCAUUGCAUGCCCCAAUAAAGCUGACAAAUCCUCAGCAGACAAGAUAAACAAAUAAGAAGAAAACAUGCAACCUUAGCGAAAACCAUGAUGGGAAUAAUAGGUCAUAUAGCAGAGACGUUAAAAGAAACACAAUAAGUUAUAGAAUCAAUACAUAUAGCAAUGAGAUUCACCCAACACUCUGAGAAACCCAUAUGAAUCAUAAUAGUUCGCAGGUAGUUCUAAUCCAUAUGGUGAUGUGCCUUUAAUAAUUUUUCAUUGUGCUAAUAAAGGAUACAUAUUAACUAUAAAUAUUAACUUAGUUAUAAAUAUUAACUCAUUAAGAAUGUUAACUGUGACACCCUAGGCGAAUCUCAUAUCAGCUAAACACAAGGUGAAAGUAAUGUACAUAAGGAUGAGCAAGCGUUAGACUAGCAAGACGUGUUUUGGGCAUAAAGAUGAGGCUUUGGCCUAGAAACAUAACCAUGCGGGUUGAGCCCAAAGCGGGCAACAUCUUAUUGGGCUUGGGAUGUUACAGACUUGGUAUCAAAGCCAAACCUUGUCCUUAUGGCUGGUGGUGAAGGAAAACUCAUGCUGAGUACCUACCUAAGGAGGGUGUUUGUGACACCCUAGGCGAAUCUAUAAAGAUAGACAAGUCUUAGACUAACAAGAUGCGUUUUAGGCUUAGAAACGCUUAGAAGUGAGCCCUGACCUUAGGACCCAAAGAACAAAAUCACGUGUGUUGGGCUCGAAGCGAACAAUAUCUUACUAAGCUUGAGAUGUUAUAUUAACUCCAUUAGGAAUUUUAAUUUUUCUUAUAAACAUUUUGGUAUAAUUUUAUUUUCAUCUUUAUGUUCUAUUUUUGAAAUUAUAUAUGAGUAAUGUGAACUAAAUUUAAAUAACUCGUAAUGUAAAAUAGUUAUUAAAUUUAGAAAAACCUAUUGUUGAAUUAGUUUAUUAAUUUUCCUUUAUUUUUUAUAAUUAGUUAUGAUAAAACUUUAUAAUCUAUAAUGUUUUUCUUUUAACUUUUCAGUUAGUUUAUUAGUUUUAUGUUUAUGUGGUUUUUCUAUCUAUAUUCUAAAAAAUUAAAUCAUGAGCACAACACUAUAAUGCAAUGCACAUUAAAAGAUAUAGAAAUAAGCGGACAUUAACACUACCAAGAAAAUAAAAUAUAUUAAAUUUAAUAAUGAUAAAUUUCCUUUUGAUUUCGUUAAAAAAAUUUAAAAAAUUAUUAUUUAGAAGUUUUAAUUUAAUUUAGUUAGUUUAGAUUUGUAUAUAAGGAUUUUUAUUUAAAUAAAUAAUAAUAUAUAGAAAAAUAAGUAAAAAUAUUGGUAAAGGCUUAAAUAACUUAGUAUGCAUGUAAAUCAUUUAAAAAUUGCAAAUUAAAUAACGACUAAUUGCAAUGAGUCACAAUGCACAAGUCACAUUGCUUUCUUUCUUUUCUUUUUCUUUUUCUUUUUUUUUUUUUUUGAGAAAGACAAGUCACGUUGUUAAGUACAUGUAGGCAUGGCCACUGUUCCAGAACUGCCGAUUUCGGUUCCAAAAAAUUUGGAACUGGAAUUGAAUCAAAAAUUUUCAGUUUCGAUUUUGGUUUGGAACCGAAUGGUUCCGGUUCCUUAACGGUUCUAAAACCGACGGUUCCGGUCGGUUCUCCGAUCGGUUUUCUGGCUAAUCGCAUAAUUUUAAAUUUUAAAUUUUGAAGAUCGGUUUUCAAAAUUUUAAAAUUUGUGAAAAUUAUUUCUAAAAAAAAUACACUUAAAAAAUUAAAAAAUGCUUCAAUUAAAUUUAUUUUUUUUGAAAAGACUUGAACUUAAUUAUUUUUUUUAAAAAAGUCUUCAACUAAAUUUAUUUUUUGUUUAAAAAAGUUGGAACAUAAUUUUUUUUUUAAAAAAAGGGCUUGAACUUAAUUUUUUUAAAAAAUAAAAAAUUAAGUUGCCUACGUAUCCUCUUGGGGUUUAAAGGAAUCAAAGCUCAUGUAGUUCUUACUUACCUUAUACCAAUUUGACCCCUUUUGCAUUAUUCGCUAUUUCCACCACCGGUUGAUGUUCCCGUUGAGUACCCAUCGUAAAGAUCUUAUAAAUCUUCAUAUUCUUUUAGAUUUUCUUAUGCUUUUAGUUCGGCCUUACUCCAAUCAUCCACGCAUGAUUGUGCUUCUAGUGAAUCGGGUGGCAUACGAGAUCGUGUUUCAUCAAGUAUGUUUCCUCCUUGACUAAAAGCUUGUUCAACCGCAACAGUGGAGACCGGAGCUGCUAAAACUUGUUUUGCAAUUAAAGAAAGUAUUGGAAAUGAUUGGCGUGAUGACUCCAUCAAUCUAAAAUUGGAAAUUUAUUAUCUGCAUAAUUAUUACCAAACUCAAAAGAAUUGGUUAGAUAAUUAUCAAAUUCAAAAAAAGAACCGGGUUCCCUUGGUCUUUUUUGUCUUUGUAGUAAAACCCGUUCAGCAACACCAACACUACUUACCCUUUGAGUUGGAAAUUGUUGAAUAUUGAAUUGAGAAGAAUUAGAAGUAGAUGAACUAGAAAAUUGAACAAAUUCACUAUAUAAUUCUAUAAUAUUUUGUCUAACUUCAUGCAAUACUAAAUUUAUAUUAAUACUAUCUUCCAUAUCAAGAUUUAAUAAUUCAUAAUAAAUAGUCAAAUAUUCACAUAAAACUUCAAUUUUACAUCUAGAAUCAAAUACAAUAGCAACAAGAUAAAGGGAUGUUAUAUUUUUAAAAUAAGAUAACUAUUUUUUUUUCAUUGAAAAAACACAAUAUUUUAAUAUAAAAUCAUUUUCAAAUUCUUGGAGUGCACUAACAAUAUUAAUACACAUAGGUAAAAAUAAAUGAGAUGUGGGAUAAUAAACCCCANNNNNNNNNNNNNNNNNNNNNNNNNNNNNNNNNNNNNNNNNNNNNNNNNNNNNNNNNNNNNNNNNNNNNNNNNNNNNNNNNNNNNNNNNNNNNNNNNNNNNNNNNNNNNNNNNNNNNNNNNNNNNNNNNNNNNNNNNNNNNNNNNNNNNNNNNNNNNNNNNNNNNNNNNNNNNNNNNNNNNNNNNNNNNNNNNNNNNNNNNNNNNNNNNNNNNNNNNNNNNNNNNNNNNNNNNNNNNNNNNNNNNNNNNNNNNNNNNNNNNNNNNNNNNNNNNNNNNNNNNNNNNNNNNNNNNNNNNNNNNNNNNNNNNNNNNNNNNNNNNNNNNNNNNNNNNNNNNNNNNNNNNNNNNNNNNNNNNNNNNNNNNNNNNNNNNNNNNNNNNNNNNNNNNNNNNNNNNNNNNNNNNNNNNNNNNNNNNNNNNNNNNNNNNNNNNNNNNNNNNNNNNNNNNNNNNNNNNNNNNNNNNNNNNNNNNNNNNNNNNNNNNNNNNNNNNNNNNNNNNNNNNNNNNNNNNNNNNNNNNNNNNNNNNNNNNNNNNNNNNNNNNNNNNNNNNNNNNNNNNNNNNNNNNNNNNNNNNNNNNNNNNNNNNNNNNNNNNCAUGUAAUGCCCAUUUAAGAAUGCAUUUGCCAAUGAUCACUCCAAAUAUCACAACAAAUUGAAACACGAAUUUUCAUUUCAGAAAAUAAAAGCUCAAACUUUUUUUUUUCUUUUUUAUACAAAGAAAUAAUAGUUCGUUUUACAGUAUUUCUUAGUACUCUUUUAGCAAAAGGAUUUAAAGCUUUUUGACAAUAAUUAUUAAAACCGACUUCUUCACCAAAACUANNNNNNNNNNNNNNNNAAAUCAUUUUUGCUAAUUCUUCUUUUUGUAUUUUUUCAGAAUAUUGAAAUAAAGAAAUGUUAGAAGAUGCGUACCCUGAAAUUUGUAUUUGAGACCGAUCAACUCCUGUUUUUGUUGGAUGUUUUGUCUCCAAAUGCUUCCAAAAUGAUCCAUAGCCGCCCGAUUGUUUAAAUUUAUAAGAAUUUCCACAAUAAUUGCAAAUUACAUCGAAUAUUUUGUCACCUUUGAAUUUUUUUGUGAAAUGAAUAACGAAUAUGUUAGAACUCCGUCUUGCUCUUCGAAGAAGUUGUGUACCUUGCUCUNNNNNNNNNNNNNNNNNNNNNNNNNNNNNNNNNNNNNNAUUCAGAUUCUUGAGUUGGAAUUUCCAUAUUUUCAUUUGGAUAUCCCUCAAAAUUAAAUCGGUUGGGAGUGAAAUCGAAGAUGUCAUUUGUAGGGAUAGAUGAAUAUUGUGUUUCUCCAAUCUUUCCCUUGCCCUUAGUAGAAUUUGAGUUUCCUCCACUUGUCAUUAUAUGAAAAUAAUAUAUAAUUUGGAAAAUUGAAUAAAAAAAAAUAGAGAUAAUUAUUAGAGAUUGGAAUUAGAGAUUGGAAGUUGAAUAAAUUAAUUCACAAUAAAUUGUGAAUGGAAAUUAGAGAGAUUGUAGAGUAGAGAAGAAUAAUAUAGAGUAGAGUGUAGAGAGAGUAGAGAUUUUUGUGUGAGAAAAUUGUAAAUGGAAUUGGAAUUGAAUGAGGUAAUUAUAAUAAAUCCAAAAAAUCAUUUUUCCACAAAUAUCCUUGAAACUAACUGUUAUAUAACCGUUUAUAGUUGUUGGGAGGGGUAAUUAAGAGAUUUCACAACAAAAUUAAAAAAAAAAGAGCUGCUGACAGUUUGUAACGGCUAGAUCCCCGGUUCAAAUCGGUUCAAAUCGACGGUUCGAACCGACAGUUCUAACCGGCCAAAAAAUCGGCGGGGGCCCGGUUUCCAAAAUAUUGGAACCGGAACCGAACCGUAUACCUCCGGUUUCGGUUCCCACCGGUUUCGAUUCCGAUUCGGACCGAUUCCGGUUCUGGGAAUCGUAAUAUGGCCAUGCUUAAGUACAUACAAUGUAUAAGAUCAUAUAUUAAUGAAGCACAAUAUUGAAACGAGACUUCCAAAAUAAUAAAUAUUUGUUUAGGUUUUAAAUUUGCGAUCUAUUACUCUAUAAACACUUGAUCACUUUCAAAAUAUUUUCAUAUUGUAAUUAUUGUUAUUAACUAAGUGAUUGGCAAAAAGACUAAAAAAAGCCUCAAUUUUAAUCUUUUUUUUUUCCAAUUCUAACUAUUUUUAUUUAAUUUUAUCAAUUGAUAUCGUAAAUUGUUAUUAUUAAUAUUAUUUUUCACAACCGUGACCUCUAUCCACUUACCAUUCAAAACUUUGAUAUAGCCGUUAAGUAUAAUAAUUGAGUCCAUAUAUAAUUUAGUUAAUUAUGAGUAAACAAAUAAUAAAGUUCAAUAAUAAAAAAGAGUGUUAAUGAUUUUUCAAACUUUUUCGAUUAUUUGGCUUUUAUUAUUUGCUUAUUCAACACCAAGUAAGCUGUAUGUGGAGUCCACUCGUUAAAUUUAAUGACCACAUCUCCAUGUUUUGGACAAUAUAUAAAUGGGGGCUAUGAUUUAUGGAAAAAAAAUCAUGAUAUUUGUUAACUAUCAUAAUUAAGAAUUGAGAGUAUUUGAGAAUUCGUUUUCGCUUGGAGUAAAUUUGGGUUAUAUAUAUUGGAAUAAGGAUAACUUUAUUAGAAUAAUGAUCAUGAGAAUCUUACAUUAUUUGUUAGUUAGAGUUUAUUUGAGAGUUUAACAUCCUUUAAUGUAUUUAUAUAUUGUCCUUUUAAGUAUUUUAUUAUCGUACAUUAUCAAUAGUCCUCCAAAAAAUGUUGGUCAUUUAUGUCCAACAAAUGUUUAAAUUUAAAUGGAUGGACUGCUUAAAUAUGAGUUGUUCGACUGCUUAUGUCCGAGUUAAUGGACUAUUUAUGUCCGAACUGAUGGACUGUUUAUAGACCGCUUAAGUCCGAAUUGGAAAAUUGGUUAUGUCCGCACUGAUGGACUAUUUAUGGACCGGUUAAGUCCAAACUAGAGAAUUGGUUAUGUCUGAACUAAUGGACUGCUUAAGUUCAUUUUGUUGAGGACUGCAUAAGUCCAAAUUUAUUGAGGACUACUUAAGUUCGGAUUUAUUGAGCUUUAUUUGAUUGUGGUACCUGCGCUUUUAUCAUGAUAAAAAGAAUGAAAACUAAUUAAUAAAAUUGCUUUAUCUUAUUGAAAUGGAGACAAUAAAUAAAUAUUGUUGUCUUAUAAAUUCAACUUAACAUUUCAUUAGCAAUCAGUAAACAGUAAAGAAGAUAAAAUAUGUAGCUCAAUUUUAAAAGCAAUGAUAUAUUCAGCAAAAUAGUAACGAGAUUGUAAUAUAACAUUACAAAAGAUAUUGCAUGUUUUAGAUACUAUUUUUUAUUUUUUAUUUAUUGUAUUAGUCAUUUAUUUCUAUUACGUUGUUGUUCAAUUUGUUAAACUCUGGUCGAUCUUUGCUAUUCAUGCAAACUAAAAAUCAAAAUUUAUUCUUUUCUUUGUUAGAAAAAAGGGAAGGAAAGAAAGAAUCAACAAAAUCGAAGGACUCAACAUAUUCAACCAAUCACCAUCCUUGGAGCAAAUUACUAAAAUAUAUGAAGAAAAAAAGUCAAUAUGAAAAUUGAUAAAUAAGUUCACCGUAAAAAGUUCAUGUUCCUGCAACGACACUUCCUGAAAGUGAAAAAUAUUUCUAUCUUUAAGGAGUUUAAAGACUUAAACCAAAACCUGAAGUUUCAAUGUUUCUUAUCGGUCAGGUCAUAAUAUUGUGUUAAAUCAUCUUUAGUAAGUUCCAAAAAACGAACUCCCAACUCCUACAUUCAUCUCAACCAGUAAUUACAGUAAGAGUUAGAAAGGUUUUCCCUGCUUUUAAUUCUAAAGUCCAAAUCAAGAAAGAUGUAAAUCACAUCAAGAAGACACCUCAAUUGCAUUAAUACUAAGAUUUGCUUCACAUACAAUAAUAAAAUAUAUUAAAAUAAUAAUACUAGACUCCUAAAUAAUCUCAAACUAACAAAUAACGUAGGAUUCAUAAUUCUUAUCCUAAUACGACUAUCUUAAAUCCAAUGUAUAUACUCCAAAAUUACCCCAAGGAAGGGUUAAUUCAUAAUUUACUACACCUCAAAUUCUGAGAGUUUAACAAUUGGUGGUGUGAGCAUGAAACAUACCUUCAACCCUAAAAAAAAAAAAAAUCCCAACAGUUUCGAUUUCUAUGGCUAACGAUUUCACUAAAUGCCUCAACAUGGAAGGCCAAGACAAUACCCACGACGAGGCCAACCAACAACCCACAUUCGCCCCUCUACAAACCACUGAUCCCCAGGCAGCUGCUCUAGCUCAGGCUUAUUCACAAUUCACCAUCAUGCUGAAACGCCUCUUGGAGAAUCCUCAGCCUAGUGGCGAACUAAUACCACCCACCAGGUAGGCGAAUCUUCCCCACCAAGAAUAUAGCCUCCCUCCAACUUACCUAAAUACCAAAGUCAUUCAGUAUUUGAUCGAUACCAUGAGGCGGAAUCGGAGGUACACCCUAGCGCGACCAUCCCCAAUAGCCAAAAGCUAAGUCACACCCAACCAAUCUUGGACAGAGCUAAUCUCCAAAAUGUUGUCAAGGAAUUGGUUCAAGAGUGUAGAGAGACAGGAGAAACAGGGGAUUAUGGUCUCCUAUAAGACUCGUCUUUGUCAGCUGAUAUUUUGGUUGCCGCUUUCACCAAGGUUCAAACUUCUUACUUUCCAAUUGCAUGAAGGAUCUACCAAUCCUCGAAGCCAUCAGACGACCUUCUGAACUAUGAUGUACCUUCAAACCAAUUCGGAGGAUCUAAUGUGUAAGGUGUAACAUUCCCGAGUUGAGUCAUUUCAUAGAGUCGAGUUGAGUCGAGUUGAACCAAACCCGGUUGGGGUAGAAUGAGAUUAGAAGUGGACUUAUUUGAAUGAGAGGAAAAGAUCAAAGCAUAUAAAGGAGAGGAUUCAAUUGCAUUAAAAGAUCAAGCUUGGGUAUUAAGUUGUAACCUUUGCAUAAUUGAGGUGCCAUGUAGGAAGUUUUACAUCUAUUUUGAUAGCCUACCCGUAAAAAUCAUUUUCACUUUCCCAUUUUUCAUGUUUAUCUCCAUCUUCUUCAUCUCCUUCCCUUCCCUUCCUUUCAUUUUCAUGGUAGUUGUGGUAAUUAAGCAUUAAGGCAACCUCAAUUUGCAACAAGUAAGUAAGUAGUAUAUCUUGAAGCUUUGUGUUAUUCAACUUCUUUGAGUUAUAUUGUGGGUAAUGUAUAAGAAUUGUUAUGGAUAGGUGAAGGAAGUUCCAAGAGUGUAGAGAAGAGAAGCUAGAAGAGCUCAAGCUUUUGGAGUGGAGGUUUGAUAUCUCUUUUCAUUUGCUAUUGGCUUUGUAUGGAAUUUGUGUGGUGUGUUGAUGAUGAGACAAUAUCUUGCUCCAUGUUGAAUGGGAGAACUGGAAAUGUUGAGAAAACAGGGGAGACCUUCAUCUUGAUUUUGACCCCAUUUAUUGCUUGAUUUUGACCCCAGUUAAUGGUGGAAUUAGGAAGUGUCAUAGAAGAGUUAUUUGUUCCUCUAUGUGUUAGCUUUNNNNNNNNNNNNNNNNNNNNNNNNNNNNNNNNNNNNNNNNNNNNNNNNNNNNNNNNNNNNNNNNNNNNNNNNNNNNNNNNNNNNNNNNNNNNNNNNNNNNNNNNNNNNNNNNNNNNNNNNNNNNNNNNNNNNNNNNNNNNNNNNNNNNNNNNNNNNNNNNNNNNNNNNNNNNNNNNNNNNNNNNNNNNNNNNNNNNNNNNNNNNNNNNNNNNNNNNNNNNNNNNNNNNNNNNNNNNNNNNNNNNNNNNNNNNNNNNNNNNNNNNNNNNNNNNNNNNNNNNNNNNNNNNNNNNNNNNNNNNNNNNNNNNNNNNNGGUUUGGCCCUUGGCCUGGAAGCGCUCGCGACUUGCGUUGCGCGCUCGCGUAGUUGGCAUGAAAACUCACUGUCUCUCAUUUGGCACCCUACGCGCUCGCGGCUCUCAAGUACGCGAUCGCGACUUGUGCCUGAUAACACACUGUCUCUUAUUUUCUGCAUUACGCGACCGCGACCUCCAUGUACGCGCUCGCGACUUGGUUUUUCCUGCAUUUUUGGACUUUCUUUUUCCAUUGAGGUUAGGUAGAAACCAUGUAGAUAAGGCUAUGUCGCGACAUAGAAUAGCAGAUCUGCGCCCCAUACAGUUUGGAACUCCGGCUACAGGCCGUUGAGUGGAUAUGAUUAAACCGUGCGGUGCGAAUCCGGUUAGGGGCACCAAAACGGACAAUAUUGGCAUAGGCGAAUCCGGUUAGGGGCCUAUAGCAUACAGUUUUACCCAGUUUCAUACAGUUUAUCUUAUCACUUCGGUUUCACUAUAACCUUAUGGAGCCAUUCAGAUAUCUUGACAUAACAUUUCAUGAAUUAUACAGGAUUAUAAACAGUACAAAAGAUAAUCAAGAUAUCAUGAAAGUAUCAUAAUGUGUGAGCUUAUAUGUGCCAUAUAUGUUUCCAUGGUUCUUUCUAUAUAUGUAUGUGUUUAAUUGUUUCUUUAUUUGUUGAGAUAUCCACUGAGCAUUAUUUGCUCAGCGAGUUACCUGUUUAACUCGCAGGUUUUGAGACUGGUCCAUAGAGAGUCCGCGUACAACUGCUGCAGUUCAUCUGUAGAAGACUCGGUCUUCAGGGUAGAAACUCAUUUUGUUUUUCUUUUUAUGGCAUGUACAGGGCAUUCCUUUGGGCCCAUUUCCUUUUGUAAACUUGUAUCAUGUUUUGUAAAUAUAAAUUACAUUAUUUUUGUAAACAGUACCAGCAUGUUAUUAUAUUCAAUAUAUAGUAUGUUUUCAGCAUGUCAGACCAUACAGUCAACCAGUUUGUAGCAUCUCGACUCGGUUCAUUCGGGUUUACGGGUGGACCGGGAAGGGGUGUUACAUAAGGUCUUCCUAACUACCCUGAAAGGAGCAUCUCAAGAAUGGUAUCAAACGCUCAAACAUGAUCCAUUCAUUCCUUCUCCUAGUUAGCCACAACAUUCUGAGCUCGUUUCAUAACAUGUAUACUAUCGAGGAAAAUAUUGUCUGACUUGGUAGAUUUAAAAAGAGAAGAGGGAGCCCUAAGGCAAUACGUAUCCAAAUUUCAAAGAAUGGCGAUGCAAGUGGAGAACUUGAAUGAUGAGUUGGUCAUUAGCUCUAUGGCAAAAAAUUACAGGUACUAAGAAAUCAUGGAAAGAGAAACCUUGGUUUGCCUAAAACAUCCUCAGCUUAAAUAAACAUAAAUGCAAAAUUCAUAGUUUUGGAAAAAGCCAGGACAAUAGAAAGGUAGAAUAAGACAUGCUUGGCUCUGGUGGCUGAUGAGACAGUUAUUGUGCACUUCCAGUUAUGGGGAGAUGAGUGUGAUGCUUUUCAAGCUGGUGACAUUGUCCGUAUUUUCGCUCCCUCAAAUUAAAUUUAUAAAACUUAUUAUUUCUUUCUCUUUUUUUUUUUUUUUUUGAUAUUAUGUAAUGGCUAUGGAAGAUACUCAUAAAAAAUAAGGUAAUUUCCCAUGUCACCAUAUGCUUCCUUCCCCAUAUUUAGUUCAUGUUGCAAAGUGCCAAUAUAUAUAGGGGUGGCUAUUUCACGUUUUUUGGAACCGAAAUCAAAACUGGAACCGUGAAGAACUGGAAUCAGUCCAAACGGGAAUUGAAACUAGGGGUUUGUGGUCCGAUUCUGGUUCCAACAUUUGAGAAACCAUGAACCACGGUUCCAAGAACCGACCGAAACCAACAUUUUUUCAAUCGAUUAGAACCGACUAUUCCAAACAAAUUUGAAUUUUUAGGUUUAACAGCUAGAACUGGCGGUUCCAUCCGGUUUCAACAACUUUUUUUAUUUUUCAAAUAUUUUUGUGAAAUCCCCAAAAUAACCGUCCUAACAACUAUAAAACGCUAUAUAAUGGCUAGUUUUAAAGGUAUUUGUGGAAAGUUUAUUUUUUGGAUUUACUAUUGAUACCCAUUUUCAUUUAUGCUCUCAAAUAAAAUUAUCUCUACUCACUACUAUCUACUCUAUAUUACUCUCUACUCUACAAUCUCUCUAAUUUUCAUUUAUAAUUUUGUCAAAAUUAUUGUCAAAUAAUUUGUCUAAAGUCCAAUCUUCGAUUAUUGUCAAAAUAAGUUCGAGCCUUUUUUUUAUUUUUUCUUAAAAUUUUUUAAAAAAUUAUUUCAUAAAUAUUUAAAUUUUAAAUUUUCAACAAGAAAAUAUUCCCCAAUUUUUGAUUUUGUAAUUAUGCGAUUCGCCGAAAAAUCAGCCGAAAUCGUCGAUUUUGAAACCGUUAAGGAAUCAGAACCAUACGAUUCCACAGCAUAACUGGAACUAUCAGUUUCCACUUCCAAAUUUUUGGAAUUUGAAGCCGAAACUAUGACCACCCCUAAAUAUAUAGGUGUCAUGAUUAAUUUCCUCGAUCCAUUUCAUCAACCACCAUAUGUUUUGAAAACAUUACAUGACAAUGGGAAUGGCCUUCCAAUUAAACUAAAUUUAAGUUUUAAGCAUGCAAAGCUUUCGGUUUAGAUUCUUGCAAUUAAAAUAAAUUUGCUCUUUGAACCGUGAUUUAGUUUAGAUUUUUUUGAAAGAAAGUAUUUGGAGCGGUAUCAAAUUAGGGUGAAUGGGUCAUUUUGUAGAUUUUGCUAUGCUGUAAACCUACAGAUUUUGCUAUGCUGUCAACCUACGUGGAGAAAAUGUCAGUCUACGUAAAUAGACACAUAAGCGUCUAUGGAUCCCAAUUAGUCCCAUUAGAUAUUCCCGAUUGUCCAUGUACAUCAUGAGAUACCAAAUUAAAAAAAAAUUAUAAAUUUAGAUACUCAAUUGUCACAAUUUUCUAUUCACACACCAAAAUAAAAAAAAAUAUAACAUUUUAAUACCAGAUUAACGUUAUACCUUUAUUUUAUGUUUGUCUCUAAUAGGAAAGAAUGCAUGACAUUUAGUUAGUGUAAUAAUGGAUAAAAAUAAUAAUCCCUUUAUUCUAAAAGAAUAAUUUUCAUUGUUUUUACAUUUUUACAUAAAUUACGAAUAGGUAGUUAAAUUAGUUCAAUUUUACACGCAUUUAUCCUUCUUUUCCUAUAUAUACCCAAUAUAUUAAUAAUUUUUUGAUUAAAUUUUGAAAUUGUUUAUAAUGUUUUUCAAUUAAAAAUUAAUAUCUCGGCAUAUGUUUCAAUUACUUUAUAUUUAUAUUUGACUAAAUAUUUAGUAAUUCUAUUAACAUUAAUUAUUGACACAAAUUAUAAUAAGGGUAUUAUAGGAAAAUUAAUAAAAAGACUAUUUCUAAAAUGGAAAUGAGACUAUUAUUUUGGGACACCAUUUUGGAUAGUGAAAAUAUUUUUUUAGGAUGAAGGGAGUAACUUAUUAAGGGCGAAAGAUAAUUGAAUGGAUUUCAUCGCACCUGAAUGUAACAUAAUAACAGAAAAGGGCAAAGCCGAAAAUCAAUAAAUGUUUAUGAAGGGUUACAAAUUGGAAUUCUACAUUCUCAUAUGGUUGUUUUUGAAGCCCUUCUUGCAAGAAUGACCCAACAAAGAACACGAUAGAAAACAAAGAAGCCCAACAUAACCCCCACAUUAAUCCAUCUAUUGUCUUUUUCAAGUCCUCUACUCUUCAACACAUCAUUCCCAGUAACCAAACACUGAGAAUGAUUUUCUUGAUAAUGCCAAGAAAAACACUCAUUUCUCAAACUCCAAUACUCAUUUACCAGAAGACUAUCUAAUGGGUAUCUGUAUAGAGAAAUGUAAUACAUAAAAAUCCAAUACUUAGGAAUAUUUUCUUUGGGUAUAAAAUACCCAGAGAAAAGGAAAAAAGCACCAAGAACUGUGCAUAUUAAAGAAUUCCCUGAAAUAAAAUCAGGAGAAAUAGCACUUAGAAAAAGAACUAAAGAAGAAGCCAUCAAGACUAUUAACCAAACAAUAAAAGUAAAGAAUGUGAAAGCCGAAAUGGAAGGGUUAAGCCCUACAAGCCAAUAAAUUGGAAUAGAGAAAAUAACAGCAACAGCAAGCAAGAAAGGCAAGAAAAUAAUUGUAUUGGCGAUUAUGUAAGAGGAAAUGCUAUAAGCUGCUCUAGAAGCUUCUUUCAUUAGAACUCUUCUUUCUUGAAGAAAUAUUGGAAGAGCUUCAACUGUAGAAGAAAGAAGAAAGCUAAGGCUGAAGGCAAAAAGCCCUAAUCUUUCUGCUAUUCCUUCUUCAUCUUUUUUAACUUUGAUAUAUACACUAGCUAAACCAAACCCACCAACUAAUGCUUGCAGUGUUCUUGCCAAUAGUAGUUGCUUUGUUCUGUAAAUGACUUUCGAAAAUCUCGAGCAAAGAUAAAUAAUCUCAUGCAAAUGUAAAAGAGAAGAAAUACCCUUUUUUUGAAUACCUUGUUCUAUUUGAAAAGCUGAUUCCUCUUGCCAAAUUGAGUAUUGCAAAGGAGAUAUAUAAGUUAUGGAUUUUGAAUGCUCACCAAGUGUUUGUAUAAUUUCCAUAGAAAACUCGAGAGCAUUGAGUUGCAUAGGAACUUGAAAUCCCAAAUUAUAUAUUGUCUCCUCCAGUGAUUCUAAGCUACCAUUAUAAACCACACAACCAUUAGAAAGGAUUAAGAAGUUAUUAAUAAAUCCAAGUAUUCUAUAACUUGGUUGGUGUAUAGAAAAUAAAAUUGUUCUGUGUUUUUCUUUUGCCAUAUUUGAAAGUAACUCAAUAACUUGAAGAGCUGAGGUACUGUCUAGGCCUGAAGUAGGCUCAUCAAGAAGCAAAAUUGGCGGGUCAUUAAUUACAUCAACGCCUAUGGAUACCCUUUUUCUUUCUCCACCUGAUAUGCCUCUAUUCUCUUCAUCACCAACAAAGCUAUUGGCAACAUGCGAUAGGCCAAGCUCUAACAUUAAACUCUCUACCCUCUUCUCUUUAUCUUUUGUACUCAUUUCUUUGAGUCUAAAUUUUGCACCAUACAUUAGAGUUUCUUUCACUGUCAGUAAAGGAAGCAAAUUAUCUUCCUGUGCUACAAAUCCACAUAUCUUCCUUAACUGAGCUGGCUUAUAUAUAAACCGAUCGUUUAUGGAUACACUCUUUGGAUUAAAAUCUUUGUCUUUAACUCUUCCAGAUAUUAUCCGAAGAAGAGUAGAUUUUCCAGUCCCACUUGGACCAACAAUGGCAAGAAGUUCAGAGCUUCUUGCUUGAAAAGAAACUGAUUGAAGUAUGUUAAUAGGCUUAGGCUUUUGGCCUACGUGAAAGAAUGAAGCAAACGUUGACUCACAAGAAGAAAUGGUAUAGGAAAGAUUUGUUACAGUAAGUUUGUAAGGCACUUGUGAAUGGUGUUGAGGUGGCGGUGGUGAGUGGCGGGAAGAGGAGGAGCGGCUGGUGGAUUCCUCAGAAGUUGAAAAGAGAAUAACAGAGUCAUCUUCUAUUGUUGGUUGAUUGAAACAAGAAGGCACUUUUGUUAGCUCCAUUUAGUGGAUAUGGAAGCAUAUGCAAAUGCAAAUGCAAGUGGAGAGCCUUUUAAGUGGGAAUUUUAUUGAGAUUAUGUGAAGUAUGGUGUGGGAGUUGGGCCAACCAAGUUAAAAUUCUUGAUUGCUUGAAGAAUUAAUUAGGAUUUGGUUAGUGUUUGGUGAUCUGGGAAGGUUGACUAUUUUACAUUGCUUAUCAGAAGUUUCAAAGUAAUAUUUCAUUUCUAUACAUUUCAAAUUUCUUGAUGUUGGUGAUGAUUAAGGUGCUAUCUCCAUUAAUGAUAAUGGUUCAAUUUUUUAUAAACAGGAUUAUUUUUUUACUUCUAAUAAUUAUGGAUUUUUUGUGUUUUAUGUGAAUAAUUUAUUUUUAAUUAGACUGAACUACUUAAUAAUAUACUCAAAAAUUAAUUCAUGAUACUAUCUAAUAUAUAUAUAUAUAUAUUCUUAGGCCGUUUAUAUUGUCAUUGAACCUAAUACGUAAUUUAGUCUUUGAAUAUAUAAAACCAUACGCUAAAAAUGGUAGGUGAGAAAAUACUCAGAUUUUCGCAAGGAAGGAACCACAUUAACAAAUGGGUUUUCCCUCGAAAUACAAAAAAAAAGAAUAACAAUAAUGUUUUCAAGAUCAGAAGUGAAGUGAGACAAUGACUAACAAAGCUUGGGCCAGUGUCAUAUAACAAGUGGGCCGGACCGAAGUGAUGUACGCAAGAUGAGCCCAUUGGCUCUUACCAGUUUCUAAUGGGCUCUUACCCGAAUCUCCACCGCGGUUGUGGAAAGUGAAAGUAAUCAUUCCCCUCCUAUCAAACUUUAAAAAUUAGUAAGGGAAAAAUAAUUAUUUGGUCCCUGACGUUUGGUCAAAUUAAUUAACUCGUUCGAGCAAUUUGACAAUAUUAUCUUGAGGUUUAACUCCUUGAGGUUUAACUCCAUCAGCCUACUUAGUUUUUCUGCUCAUUUUUUUUUGAGUUAAAAUACGUGAAAAAAUAAGAAAAAUGUGAGACAAUUAAUUUAAAAUGACAUUACUUGCCCUUUAACCUAACCUACCUUUUUUCCUAUUUCUUGCGCAAACAAUAGCGGUAUCUUACCCUUCAUAUUAUGAUGGUAAAUCAGAUAUUGGAGCCUAGGUGUUCAAAUUCUACCAAACCUGAAUUGGCCUAUACUGGCAUGCUCAUUCCACGAAACGACGAUUCAAGGAUGCAUACUCCUCUAUGACAAGAGUUCGUUGUCAAUUACUUCACGAUACUCCUUGAUGCUUGGGUACUAAGCUUUGGUCCAUUUCAACAUAAAUUCCUGAAUUGGAUUUCGAUAAAGUCGUUGUAGCUCCCAAAAUCAUUGAAAAAUUAUAGACAUUUGUGUCUUCUCCCAUUUUAACAAAAAAAACUAAGCUGCAUAUAAAUGAUUUCAGAAACAAAAAGGAAGAAAGUAGACUUUUAAGACUUGGCAUUGUGUAUAUGGUCAAAUAUUUAAUAUUCAUGCUUUGAAAUCUAGGCGUUAGUUAAUAUCUAUUUGUAGCAAAUGUUUUGAUUUGAAUGUAUGGAUUUUUUGGUGGGCUGUAGUUGUCACACAAGAUGUUUGAUCAAAUGCCUGGUACAGAUUUACUUUCUUGGGACUCUUAAUUAAAACGUUAUGUAAUCGGUGAACAGUUAAGAAGAGAGAUGAUAAGGAUGGAGAGAAAGAGAGUUGUUUGAUUGUUUUGGAGAAAACAGAUAGAGAGGAGAUAGAGAGGGUUGUUUAGUCCUCUGCAUGUUUGUUGUUGAUGGUGCAUUGGUAUGGACGGAGGAAGAGAUUGACAACGUUAUUUUAGUAUUUUUAUUACUAAAUAUCAAGGUAUUUUUCGUCAUUUCCCGUGAUUUUAACAACAAAUUUUGACAAUUUGGACGGAAUGACUAAAUAGUCUAAUAUGGUUAAUCCUCAGGAAUCAUUAAUUAAUAUUGUUAAACUGCAGGGACGAGUUAAUAAAUUUAGUCAAACGUCUGGGGGAUGAUAUAAUUAUUUUUUCAAUUAUUAAUUACAUUAUUUUUGGAUCACUUCCAAUGUCAAUAAAAUUAGGCAGGUUUUUCGCUCUUGGUUUAUUCGGAUUUCUCAUAUUUUUAUGUAAUAAAUUUUGGUCAAAUACGAAAAAUUGUCUACGAAAACUUUUUCUAUGAAAACUUGUCUGUCACAUAACCCAAUCCUUUUGUCUGUCGCUCUCUUAUCUUUACCAAAACUAUUUCCAUUGGUUAACAUGAUUCCAUUUUUAGACUUUCGACAGCAAUCAACGCUUAUGGUUAAAUAACUUCCAGCCAUCAUUGACAAUGAUCGAAUUACCCAAAAUUUAUUCAAAAUCUGGAGGAAAUAUAUCUUAGAAUUUUGGGGAAUAUUUUUGCACCGCUUUUAUAAUUUUUCGGGCAGAGGAAUAUUUAUCGAAUAUUUAUUUAUUUUUUAAUUCAGGGCUAAAUAAGGUGUAAAUAAAAGAUAACGUGCUAUUAGAUGUCACCAGGUAAACAAUCUAUCAUUUUCGAAAAGGUAUAAAAUCACUCGUGGUUUAGAAACUGUUCUGCAAAAUUACCUGUUUUAAUAUCGUUUAGUUGUUUGAUGUUUGAGUAACUUUUCAUAAAACGCUAAAUGUUAAACGUUACAUGAGUUAAUUUUUUAUAAAACGUUACCUUAACUUUUAGAAGUUACUUCAAACGUUAAGUUAUCGAACACUAUAAAAAAAUAGUGUUUAGUGUUUUGACUAAAAAUUAUUUAAAAAGUUAUUACCGAACAUAGAUUUAGAAUUAUAUGCCGGCAAAGUAGACGGGUAAGUGGUUGUGCAAAUUUGAUUAAUCCAAUAUAAACUUGUCAAAAAUAUAAUACCCCUUAACCUUGUUAGCAAUUUCUUCUGCAGAAGGGCGGACAAACGCCUAUAAAAGCGUUUGUAUUAGAAGUAAAAGGGUUCGUCUUGGUCCCUAUAUAUACCCAUGUAUUUGAAGUUUUAUGAUAUAGUAGAACACCACAAAUUAAGUUUUUCUUUCCUCUUCCUUAUAAUUCUAACAAAGGGCUUAGACCAUUGGUUAUUUGGCUUUAGGAGACAUAAAUGGCUUCUCAUUUCAAUUCCUUCGUUUUACAAACCGAUUUCUAGUCUGGUCUGAUAUGGUUCUAUUUUUUUCUGCAAACUGGACAACUUUAAUUUUAAACACAAAAAGUUAAAAGUUUUAUUCUAGAAAAAUGGAUCAAAUGGCUGAGACGUAAAAUCUUUUUCAAAAAGUCAUUGGUUUAAAUCUUGAAAUCCACAAUUUUUUUCUUUAAAAAAUCAUACCUUGAAAUCCACUAACUUCUUUUUUUUUUUUUAAAAAAACAUUCCCUGAUAUCCUCCAAAAUCUUUUUUUUUUUUUAAAAAAACAUUCCCUGAUAUCCUCCAAAAUCUUUUUUUUUUUUUAAAAAAACAUUCCCUGAUAUCCUCCAAAAUCUUUUUUUUUUUUUAAAAAAACAUUCCCUGAUAUCCUCCAAAAUCUUUUUUUUUUUUUAAAAAAACAUUCCCUGAUAUCCUCCAAAAUCUUUUUUUUUUUUUAAAAAAACAUUCCCUGAUAUCCUCCAAAAUCUUUUUUUUUUUUUUAAAUUUCAAAAAUAAAAAGGUCAAAAAAUUACAAAUUACUGAUAAAUGGCCUAACCAACAAUUCACUAACUUUCAAUUUCAGUCUAAAUGACCUUUGUACCUUGGACAUCCUGAACUUAUCAAUUCAGUUGUAAUUACACUCUAAUUUGCUUUUAGGUUACAAUUGCUCCCUAAAAGUGAAUUAAAGCACCAUGAACUUAUCGAUUUGUUGUAAUUUCACCCUAAAAACAAAUUAAGGUUGAAAUUAUAAACUAAGACAAUAUAAAGAUGGACUCCAUAACCAAUCCAAACUUAGUGCAGUAUAUAAUAUUUGAAUUAAAAGAAAGAAUUUAUAAUUUUGCGUCUUUUGUCCUUCGACUUAUUGUCUUUUUUCCUUGUAGGAAAUUAAAUAUCGGCUGCAACGACAAUGAUAAAAAAAUCUCCAUAUUUUUCUCACCAUCCUAGAAAGUGUAACCUUGAAUUAGUAUCCAACUCAUUACUUUUGCAUCUUAAAAUUUGUUUAAUUUUAAAAUUAAAGAUGCAAUCUUGAUUUUUUUUUCGAAUUAUAUGAAUACUUGCAUUUUUUUUAUUUAUUGUUUAAAACACUUGAAUUGGUUAUAGACUCUAUUUUUUAUACGUUUUAAUUGUAAUUCCAAUCUUAAAUUUAUUUUUAGGAUGAAAUUAUAACAAAUCGAUAAGUUCAGGGUGCUCUAAUUUACUUUUAGGAUGUGAUCAACAAAUUGAUAAGUUCAUGGUACUGUAAUUCACUUUUAGGGUACAACCCUAAGCAAAUUAAGGUAUAAUUGCAACUAGAUUGAUAACUUUAGAGUGCUCAGGAUAUAAAGAUUGAUUUAGAAUGAAAUUGCAAUUACUCAAAAAGUUCAAGGUGAAAUUGUUUGUUAGGCCCAAAACAAUAGUCUAAAUUUUCUUAAAAAUCAACUUUAAUAUGGUGUAACCAAUUUCUAAAAAAUUCUUAUUUUGUAACUAAUAGUUAUUUUUUAAUUUAUUUAAUAAAAUAAUAAAAUUUUAAGUUAAUUAGCACACAAAUACUUUUAUAUUUUAUAUGAUUUAUGAAUGAUUUAAAUAUUACAAUAACAUCAUAUGUAUUUUACACAAAUAUGAUCAUUGUGUGUAUUUAUGCAAGCUACAAAAAGAGCAUACAUGUCAAAGGUUCCAUAUGCGAAUACUAUUGAUAGUUGAUGUAUGUUAUAGUGUGUACAAGGCCUGACAUUUCGCAGGCAAUUGAAUUUGUGAGCAGGUAUGUGAAUGAUCCUACUAAGGAGAAUUGACAAGUUAUAAAAUGGAUUCUAUGAUACAUUCUGAACAUCAGGGAUGUUGGACUGAUCCUUGAAUAGGAUAAAGAAGUCAAUCAAUGUGCAGUUGGUUACUGUGAUUCUGAUUAUGCUAGUGAUUUGGAUAAACGUUGGUGAACUAUUGGCUAUAUAUUUACUCUUACUAAAGCACCGAUGAGUAGAAAGUCUACUUUACAGUCAAUACAAAGGCAUAUUAUAUGGUAAUUACAAGGCUAUUAAGGAGGCAUUUUGACUUCAAGAAUUGCUUAUUGAAUUGAGAGUUAGACAAAAGCACAUAAAAGUGCAUUGUGACGAUUAGAGUGCUAUUCAUUUAAUAAAGAAUCAAAUUUAUCAAGCAAGGCCGAAGCUUAUUGAUGCUCGAUAUCCCUUUGUGCUAGAGAUUUUAGAAGAAGGUGUUAUACUGUUUGAAAAGAUCAUGACAAAUAGAAAAUCAUGCUGAUAUGAAGACAAAAGUAGUGAUCCAUUUUUCAUGAUGUUAUACACGGAUCAAAUAUAUCAUGGCAAAUUUUUUAGAAAAAAUCGACCAUCAAGUUCAAAAAUUGUUUAAACUUGUUUGAACUUGAUAAAUAACAUUGAAAAUUGAAGUUGCACUUUAUGUGCAUUUUGAAGACACUACAUCAUUGUGAGAGAAUUGAAAGAUUGUAACUAAGGAAAUUUCACCAACGUGGCGAUUUUUUGGCAUAUGUAGCUCAAUCUCACAUUGGUGGGCAUAAAAGGUGAGGCGGUAGCUUCGACUAUAAAACUAACCCCUCCCAAUUAUUGAUAUACCAUCUGCAAAAGCCAUCUGUUUUUUACAUAGACAUUUGGCUUAGCUAUCUCUUUUCUCCAUUUGUAAUAUUUCUUUUGUUAGUGAAAUAUUAUUUGGAUAGUGUCAGAGGACAUAGGCAAAUGAAUGAACCUCAUUAAAUUUGAUGAGUUUUCCUUUUUGUCCAUUUUAUAGUUUAUCUUUGUGCAUUUUAUUUUAUAAUUUUUUUAUUGGUGUGCAUAGUGAUAUAUUGUGCUAUUAAUUAUAUGCCUAGGUUAUUGAAUUUUAAGUGGGAUUGCUUGUGACCCAUCCAAUCAUUUAGAAAUUUAUUUGGUGUAACUUUUCUUUUUGCAAAAACAAGAAAUUAUUAUUAUCAUAAAAUAAGAGUACAAGAGGUGAAGUUAUCAAGUACUACCAAGAGCAUAUAAGAUUUAUUUAGAAAGAAAACAUGGUUGUUAAAAUAGUAUAUGUUUAAGGGAAGGGAGAAUAACCCAUUGGCAACUGCUAUGCUAUGGUGCCAAGCUUCCUUUACGAUGAUCGUCCAAAGUUUAGAUUUGAUCUUUGACAAACAAAAUCUAGUGCAUAAAUCCAUCUUGAUGUGGAGAAUUUACCAGUUCUCCUUUAUAUCAAGCCACUUCCAUGUAAGAUUCUUAUCAAGACCUUCCUUAAGUGUGACAUCCUACUGAAUUGAGUUGUUUCAUUUAGCAAGUCGAGUCGAGUCGGAACGAACCAGAACACGGUUCAAGCCAUAAAAAUUAAAUAAAUCAAAGACUUGGACUUAAUUGAAUGAAACAUAAAGAUGUAGACUCAAUUGCAAUAAAAGUAUAAGGAUUAGGACCUAAUUCAAAUAAAGUAUAAAGUUUAGGUAUUAAAUGGUAAAAUAUUGAAAAUUUAGGUACUAUUUGGUAAUUUUGUAACAAACUAGAAGAUAUAUUUGGAGGUUACCCGAAAAUUCCAUUCACUUUACCUUCUCCAUCUUCUCCUUUGUCUUCUUCCUUCACUUUACCUUCUCCAUCUUCUCCUUUGUCUUCUUCCUUCACUUUACCUUCUCCAUCUUCUCCUUUGUCUUCUUCCUUCACUUUACCUUCUCCAUCUUCUCCUUUGUCUUCUUCCUUCACUUUACCUUCUCCAUCUUCUCCUUUGUCUUCUUCCUUCACUUUACCUUCUCCAUCUUCUCCUAAAUCUUCGUCCAUUUUCUACCUUAAUAUUCAACCUUUCAAGCAUCAAAUUCAAUCUAUAUCUCUAUCCAAGUAAGUUGAAUUUCUUGAAUUGCAUAAUUUUGCAUAAUUUAGGGAGAUUUUGGAUGAUUAAUAAGAUGUUAUUAUGUAUAGGAGAGGUGAGAUCAAAGUGAGAAGAAAAAGGAAGCUAAGAAGAAGGUUUAAAGCUUUUUGGUUAAAGGUUUGAUAUCUCUGUUAGUUUAACAAAUUUUCUUGCAUGAGAAUAUGUGUAGUGUGAUGAUAGUGAUAAGAUAUGUUGCUGCAUGUUGAGUAAUAGGUUUGAGAAGGUUGAUUAUGCAUGGGAUGCAUUGAAUAAAUGAAUUGGAUAUUGAUUUCAUGCUGUAAUAGGUUUGUUCGAAAACUGACCAGUAAAUUCAACCAGAAUUUGAACUUGUUUACCGAUGGAAUUAGGAAGUGGUAUAGAAGAGUUAUUUUUUCCUUUAUGUUUUAGCUGUCUAUGAGCUUUGGAAUCACCUAAAUUGGACUUAUAAAUUGAAAGAUAUGCCCAAAAUAGUACAAACUNNNNNNNNNNNNNNNNNNNNNNNNNNNNNNNNNNNNNNNNNNNNNNNNNNNNNNNNNNNNNNNNNNNNNNNNNNNNNNNNNNNNNNNNNNNNNNNNNNNNNNNNNNNNNNNNNNNNNNNGAAUUUAGAAUCACCUAAAUUGGCCUUAUAAAUUGAGAGAUAUGACCAAAAUGGUACAAACUGUGCAGGCUGGAAACCAACAGCCGGGCAGACUAGAAGUUGCUACUUUAAUUCAAUAUUUGACUACUUUACCAACAUAUUUCAGAGAGGUUUUGUACCCUAAUGUGUUAGCUAACCAUAGAAUUUAGAGUCACCUAAAUUGGCCUUAUAAAUUGAGAGAUAUGACCAAAAUGGUACAAACUGUGCAAGCUGGAAACCAACAGCAGUGCAGACUGGAAGUUGCUACUUUAAUUCAAUAUUUGACUACUUUACCAACAUAUUUCACGGAGGUGAUAAAAGACAUAUUUGUACCCUAAUGUGUUAGCUAACCAUAGAAUUUAGAAUCACCUAAAUUGGCCUUAUAAAUUGAGAGUUAUGCUAGAAUUUGUGAAACAUGUAUAGGCUGCCCUGACACAUUAGAAAUGCUGUUGGAAUGCAUAUGUAGAUUCAUUCAGCCUAAGAUNNNNNNNNNNNNNNNNNNNNNNNNNNNNNNNNNNNNNNNNNNNNNNNNNNNNNNNNNNNNNNNNNNNNNNNNNNNNNNNNNNNNNNNNNNNNNNNNNNNNNNNNNNNNNNNNNNNNNNNNNNNNNNNNNNNNNNNNNNNNNNNNNNNNNNNNNNNNNNNNNNNNNNNNNNNNNNNNNNNNNNNNNGAUAUUACUUGUAGUUGUCUAUGAAAUCCUUUUAAAGCAUGAAACAAGUUAGCGACGUAUAGAAUGAGACAGCAUACAGGUAAACAGUAUGGUUUAUGCAUUUUAAGAACAAUACAGAUAAUACGCUCCACUGAGGUUAGGUAGAAACCACGUAGAUAAGGCUAUGUCGCGACAUAGGAUAGUAGAUCUGCGUCCCAUGCAGUUUGGUACUCCGGCUAUUGGCCAUUGAGUGGAUAUGAUUUAUAUACGGGUUAUAGCAACCCAGCCAUACAGUAUUCAUCCAGUUUCAUACAGUACUUCUUAUCACCUUGGUUUCACUGUAACUUUAUGGAGCCAUACAGUUAUAAAAUUGUGUUAUUUAUAAAUUAUACGAUGUUUAAUAAAAAUUUCAUAAUUCAUACAGUAUAAUGAACACCAGGUAAGACCAUGAAAGUAUAAUGAUAUGUGUGCUUACAUGCUUAAUUAUUUAAUUCUUAUUAAGUUGAGAUAUCCACUGAGCUUCAUUUGCUCAGUGAGUUACCUGUUUUAACUCGCAGGUUUUGGGUCUGGACCGUAGAGAGUCAUCUUUACAACUGCUGCAGUUCAUCUUUUGAAGACCCAGUCUUCAGGGUAACUACUCAUUUUGAUAUUUUGGUUCUGUGGCAUGUACAUGGCACAUAGUUGGGCCCAUUUCAUUUUGAAAAAUAGUGUAAUGUCUUGUAUAUAUUACAUCAAUGUCUGUAUAUAAAUGAUGUAUAAAGCAACAACAUGACAUAAUAUUUAGCAUACAGGAUGAUAUCAGCAUGACAUGACAUAGGUUCAACCAGAUUGUAGCGUCUCGGCUCGGUUCAUUCGGGUUCACGGGUGGACCGGGAAGGGAUGUUAAUUAAGUGAUUGCCCCAAACUGAGAAGAUGAGGAGACCUUAAGUAGAAACCAAAAGUAAGAAAUAAAUCCGUGGAGUUUGUCUCGAGAAACAAGGCAAAUAUAUAUAAGGGAUUGGGCCCAUAAAGGCAACAAAGAAGAGAAAAAAAAAAAAGCUAACAAAAAAGGAAGAGACGAAAAGAGGGUCACCAUCGGCUAAAUAGCUAUUGUUGGUGACCAUCCAAACGAGAAAAACAAAUGAGCUUUGGUUUUUUAGAGGGAAGGAGGAGAGUUUUUUUUUUUCUUUUUUUUUAAUUUAAGGAUUCAACUUUGGUGUAAUUUUUUAGUAUAAUUGUUCACGUGCUAUACACAUAUUGGUGAAAAAUACUAUUCACCUGAAUCUAAAUAGCAUCCUAAUGUAUAUAUCUCAAUAAGCCAUUAUAUUUUAUAACUUAAAAAUUAAGUUAGGGUAUCUAAUAGAUUAAAAGUAAUAACUUUUUACUUAUUACUUGCCCUUCAACAAUAGGAAAAAACAAAACCCUCUUUUUCUCUAGUAAAACGAAAAAAUAAUCUCAAAUCAUGUUCUUCAAUCAAGAAUUAAGAAGAUAAUACCAACAAUGAAGAAUUUGUAUGUCUCCUAUUCCCUUUUAAUCUAUUUUAUUAUUCUUAUUUUUGUUUCUACAAGAGAUAUAUAUGAUUCUAAAUUUGUUUAGUUAUGAAAUUUAAGUUUAAAAAUAGAAUUUGAAUACCAAAACCUUAUUUGAGUUCUUAUGUUUCAUUAGGUGAAUCUAGAAUUGAAUGUCACCUUGGUUUUUUUAAUUAAAAACUGCAAAUUGAAAAGCUUUGUCAAUUUCUUUUUUUUUUUCUUUUUGUUUCAUCACAUAUAUACGAUUCUAUAUUUAUUUAGUUAUAAAAUUUAAGUUAAAAAUAGAAUUUGAGUACCAAAACCUUAUUUGAGUUAUUGUGUCUAAUUAGGUGAAUCUAGAAUUGAACAAUAAACUUUAUUUUAUUACCCUUAAUAGGGAUAAUUGCAAUUUUAGUGUAUGAACUUUUAAAAAAUUUCCAUUUUGGUGUAUGAAUGGAAAAAGUUUACAAUUUGGUGAAUCAACUCCUACAAUUUUAACGAUUAAGUGAAUUUUGCAUAAGUGGACAAUCAGAAAUCCUUGUAGAACGAUUAGACCCCACAUUAUCAAUUAUGUGUCGUUGACUGCGAGCUAAUUAAGAUGCCAUAUGAAUUGCCACCUAGAUUAGAUGCACUGUAAGCAAGAAAUGAGUCAUUUACCCUUUCUCUAUCUCACCCUCCUCUUCCUCUCUCUCUCUCUCUCUCUCUCUCUCUCUCUCUCAAACAAUCAUCAAAAGGAAAACCUUAGAAAUGGAUAUGGAAAAAAUCCUAAGUUAUUACAUAAGAUUACAGUGCAAAAGUCUAGGGAUUUUAUGAAUCAAAAUCAGCAUAUUGAGAAGGUAAUUGAAAAACAAUAUUGUCAACAAAUUGAAAAUAAUCGCCUAAGAUUAAAAGUCUCACGUGAUGCUGUUAGAUGUUGACAUUCCAAGCAUGUGCUCUAAGAGGUCAUAAAGAAAGCUCCAAUUCAAAAAAUAGGGGGUAUUUCAUUGAACUUGUUAAACUUUUGAGUUUUUAUAAUGACAAAAUGGAAUCGGUAGUUUCAGAAAAAUGCUCCUCAAAAUGCAUCUUACAUUUCGCCCAAAGUUGAAAAACAAAUUUUACAUGUCAUAUCUAAUGAGAUUCGACAUGCAAUCCGUGAUGAGAUUAAUAAUGAGAAGUUUUGCAUUAUUAUUGAUGAGGCUCGUGAUGAAUUAAAAAAGGAGCAGAUGGUCAUUAUGUUGAGAUUUGUUGAUAAAGAUGGCUAUGUACAAGAGCAUUUUUUUGAACUAGUUCAUGUCCUUGAUACUGGUGCUUUAACUUGAUACUAUUACAAGAAAUUUUAGAUGUCCUUGCUAGGCACAACUUGAAUAUAAAAAAUAUUCGGGGUCAGGAUUAUGAUGGAGCUAGUAAUAUACGUGGGGAGUGGUCUGGACUAUAAGCUUUAUUUUUGAGUGAAUGUCUAUAUAACUAUUACAUACAUUGUUUUGUUCAUCGAUUCCAAUUAGCAUUGGUUGCAGCAUCUAGAAUGGUAAUUUCAAUUCUUCAAUUUUUUUCUAAAUUGACUCUCAUCACCAAUGUUGUUACUUCCUCUUUUAAAAGGCAUGAUCAAUUGCAACCUGCCCAAAUUGCUGAACUAGAGAAAUUGAUUACUCAUGAUGAACUUGAAACUAGUAAAGAAUUAAAUCAAAUUGGUACUAUAGAAUGGGCUGAUGAUACUUGAUGGAGUUCUCACUUAAGCUCUUUAGAAGCUUAAUGAAUAUGUUUGAAGCAACUUGUUUAGUUUUGAAAACUAUAAUUGCUGAAGGGACUACUUAUAGCUAAAGGGGAGAUGCUGAUUACGCUUUUAAUACUAUCAAUUCUUUUGAAUUUAUGUUUAUUUUACAUCUUAUGAAAGAGAUACUUGAGAUCGCACAUGACCUUUGUCAAGCCUUAUAAUGCAAGAUAUUCUGAGUGCAAUGUGUUUAAUAUCAACAACAAAAAUGUCGAUUCAGAAAAUGAGAGAAAGUGGAUGAGAUUCACUGUUUAAAAGUGUCUAAUUUUUCUGUGAGAAACAUGAAGUUGAUAUUGUUGGCUCAAGGGUCAAUUUUUAAUCUCAGAUCUUGAUGAUUAAUACAAAACGAAUAAAUUUAAAAUUAUGUUAUUUGUGCUAAUUUUAUUUUUAUGCAGAAUUUUUUUGGAGAGAUAAUCAUACAAGGCAAAUCCUACUUUGAGUGUGAAGAAUUCGAAGACCUAGUAGCUAGGUAUUUAGGAAUACUUUGUAGGAUAGAGAGAAAUUCCAUAUAUGAGCACAAAAAUCCUUUUAUCUCUCAAAAAUAUUUUUCGGAAAAUUAGUUUUCUUUAAAAUAAUCUAUUUUCGAAAAUAUUCCUUCAAAUCGAAAAGAUUUAUUUUCCUAAAACUAAAGAAAUUUCUUCUCUAAUGUUUUUGGUAAUAAAAUCAUUCACCUUUUCGGAAAUAUAUUUUGCAAGAUCUAGAGCAUUUUAAAGUUAUUUUCUUACCAUAAAAAUGAAGGAAAAUCUCUUUCGGUUUUGGUAAGUGCAUCUUUCCGCAAAUAAUUUUUUCUCCACAAAUAAAUGCUGUCGAACAACUUUUCUAAAGGAAAGUGAAAAUCGGAUUUUAUUCUAUUACCAAAAAGGAUAAAAUAAUUUUUGGUAACAAAGAUUUUCAGAUCUUCUAAACAAGGAAAGAAGAUAUUCUGAUCUCUUUCCAAAAAGCGACAGCUCCUUCGUUUUCUAUAUAAAGGAACGUUCACACCUUAAUCAUUUGGUGAAGUAAGAGUAUUUGUUUUAAGAGCACUCUCUCUUGAUCAAAUCUUUAUCUCUCAAAACUUACUCUCUACCCCCAUUUUCUUUUCAUCUCUACUCUUAACGUUUUCAAUAUUUAAAGUGAAAGUUUUUUUACAAUUUCUUUUUGAAAAACAAUUCUGUGUUCUAAUCGAUCUUCUAAUCUAAUAAGAUUAUUUUUUCUGUGCUUAUAUAGGCGUUUCCUUCUGUCUAUUUAGAAUCUGUAUUCUAUAGUAGAUAGGCUCUUUAUUUGUGAAACUUUUGAGUGUAAUAGCUUAGGUUAGAAGCUAUUGAGAUAGAGGUUAUCAAGCGACCUUCUCCAUGUGUGGGAUAGUAAUGUCUUGAAUCGAGUUUUCUGUACUCUACCAAAAACAGAAAGGGUUGAGGUUAACUAGAACCUUUGGAAAAUCUAGUGGGACAAAAAGGGUAGAUCUAGGUUGUUGAUCUAUUUGCCUUGUACUGUUGGUUUGUCUCUUACCCUUUAAAAGAGAUAACUUAGUGGAGGAUCUCAAGAUGAGUCUUGGGGAGUGGAUGUAGGCGAGUUAGUGCCGAACCACUAUAACUCUCGGUGUUGAUCUCUUUAUUUCUGAAGUUUGGUUGAUACUGUCUCNNNNNNNNNNNNNNNNNNNNNNNNNNNNNNNNNNNNNNNNNNNNNNNNNNNNNNNNNNNNNNNNNNNNNNNNNNNNNNNNNNNNNNNNNNNNNNNNNNNNNNNNNNNNNNNNNNNNNNNNNNNNNNNNNNNNNNNNNNNNNNNNNNNNNNNNNNNNNNNNNNNNNNNNNNNNNNNNNNNNNNNNNNNNNNNNNNNNNNNNUGGUUUUGCAAACUUUAUGAGGAAGUUCUAAGUUCAAUAACUUUCCUUCAUAAAGAAGCUCUGAUAUUGUACAAGUCAGUGUGAAGCUGUUCUAAUCAAUAGCUGCACUUUGCACAGACUUUCUAUAUCUGAAAUUAGAACAUUGUGAGGAGAUUCUAAUCCAUAUUCUACUCUCACAAAGUUCUGUGUGUUUUUCCGCUGCACUUAGAAUUCUAAUUCUUGUUUAGAAUUUCUAAAAUUUAUUUCAGUUUUUAGAAAACCCAAUUCACCCCCCCUAUUGGGUUGUGCCAUACACAUUCGGGACCCACAGAUAUCCCUAAUAUGAAUGCUCAUUAUAAUUCUAGUCGAGCUAGAACCCGCAAUCAAAAAGACCCAAUUACAUUUUAGCAUUAUUUUCGAGUUGAUACAUUCAUUGCUAUCAGUGACUUGUUAGAAAUUUUAAUGGGGGCUACUAUUAAUAGUGGGCUAUUUUAGUUUGUGAAAACGGACUGGAUAAAUACAGUUUAAGAAUAUGUAUGUGGAGCCCAAUUUGUGUUUAUGUGAUCACUUAUGUAAUGGGCUUGUACACCUCUAGUGGGCCAGUAUGGUAAGGCGGUUAAAAGUGUAGGCCUAAUCCUAUAAGGAUUUGUGAUGGGAAGGUUCAUAAGAUUUUAUAUAAAUAGGCUAGGUCCCUUCUCAUUCCUUAACCCUACUAUUGACUAGUCUCAUUGAAAAGCCUCCUUGUGAAUAAGAAAACGGAGAGGAAGAUCUAGUCCCUCUUUUACAAAUUCUGAUUUAGUGUUUGAGCGUCUUGAUUGCAGAUAAUCUUAAAAGAAGAACCGUGAACUCUAUUUUAAAUCACAAAUCAGGUACGCAAAUUGCUUCGGCUUAAUAUUUAUUUGGUGUUCUAAAUUUAUAUACUAGAUUCAUUAAUUUUCUUACAUGACUCACAAUUGCAAAAAUUGAAUGUUAGAUUUAAGGCAGAUUUGAUGGAGUUGUUCAUUCUUAGCUCCUCUUUAGAUCUAAGGGAUGGUUUCAAGUCAUUUAAAAUUGAUGAUGUCUACAGCCUUGCGAAUAAGUUUUAUUUUGAAGAUUUUUUAGAACAAGGAAGAUUACAUUUAAGAUAUCAAUUGGAACUUUUUGUACUUGAUGUUCUACGUUAUCCUAAGAUGCAAUCGCUAUCAACUAUCUCUAAAUUGUGACAAUAUUUAGCUAAAUCAAAGAAGGCAACUAUUUAUCCUCUUAUUGAUAGGUUGGUUAGACUUGUUUUGACUCUUCUAGCCUCAACAACAACUACUGACCAUGGUUUCUCGGCUAUGAGUCUUAUAAAGAAUAAGCUUCGUAAUAAGAUGGCAUAUGAUUUUCUUGCAAAUUCCUUGAUUAUAUAUAUUGAGAUAGAUAUAGUUGAUACUUUGAGUAUCAAUUUUAUAAUUGAUGAGUUUUACACCACGAAAGAGCGACAGGUGUAGCUCAAGACGCGAGAAGACAUCAAGUAUAAAUAUACAAGAUAAAUUGUAAUCUUAGAUGUCUAUUUGAAUUUUCUUCUAUUUUCUUUUAUUAUUCGUUUCGCUAUGUCAUUUUUUUUCUUAUUAUUCUUAUCAGAUUUUUUUCAUUUAACAUGCCAUACUUAAUAUAGUAGGAUAAGAAUUAAAGGAAUCCAUUUGAUUGAUUGUUGUUUUGAAACCCCAUGCUAAGUUUUUUCUGGCUUAAUUAUCAAUGAAAAAAAAAAAUAUUAUCUUCACCCCCAAUCUAAAUUUCUGGCUCGCGCUGUUAAAAAUAGUCAGUUUCUGCAACAUUUGUUAGACUGGGGACCAAAAAUUAGUCCAAGGGGUAAAAAACUUAUUGCCUCGUAGCCAUAGGUUGAUUACGAAUACUGAAAAUCCGUCCAAUCAUGCACUGCGCCACCUUCACAAGUGUAAAGAUUGUGGCCUCAAAAUAGAGUGAUCCCACAAAUAUCUACCUGCCAUUUCCGCAAUUAUUGCUUGGAUAACUCUAAAUAUUCAAUUUGGCUCCUUCUCCUGCAAAAGUUAAUACGUGUCCAUAUCUGAAUCUACUCAUACGUGGGGGCAAACCAAUUAAUAAAAUGAUCAAAUUACUUUAAAUUUAGCCUUGUUUGCUGAUAAAUUUAUUAAUUUUUAAAAUUAUAUUAAAUAAGUGUAUUUUUUUUUUUAGAAAAUAAGUGUAUUUUUUUUAAUUCUUAAUCUACAAUUGUAGUUUUUACAUCUCAACUCAUUCAUCUCACGUGCAUAUAUUCAUUGGAGAUAAGUGUAAUUAUAGUAUAUUAUAUUUGACUUAUCUAAAUAUAAUUCUAAAAUAUACAUCUAGACAUAACAUAAUGAUAAAUGCAUUUACAAUCUAAUAGCUGUUCAAGUUCGAAUCUCCUUCUCCAAUACUCAAUAUAUAUAUAUAUAUAUAUAAAUGAAAUAUUUACUUGAAUUAUUGAUUACCGUUUGUAUCCGCUUAAGUAUAUUGAAUUUUAAACAAAUUACUCCUACUAGCUUUUAUUUUUUUUAUUUUUUAAAGGCAGACUAAUUUUUAAUUAGUUAGUUUAAUCCUAUCGUCUUAUAUAAAUAAAUUUUUAUAAUAGUACAUGCCAUAUAAAAGAUAAUAAUUAUUAAACUCAUUUUUAUUCAAAAUCGAAAUUACAAUAAUUAAAUCAUAAUAAAAAAUUUUCAAUUAUAUAAUAGUAAUGAUAAUAGUCAAAAAUCAUUGAGAGCUUAUAGGAUAUUAUUAACAGAAAUAUAUUUUACUUAAAUUUUAAUUUAAAAAAAUAAACUUUUUUUUUUGUCAUCGCUGAAAUAUUUGUUAAGUUUUUUCCUUUUUAUUAUUAUUAUUAUUAUUAUUAUUAUUCUCUAAUAAAAGUAAUUUGAUUACUGACAAAAAACAAAUUUAUAGGCAUAAAGAGUAUAUGAUUUCCAUUAAUUAUUUUUGAAAGACUUUUUAAUUUUAAUUGAUUCCUUGAUUUUUUUCUUAAUGCAUUCCAACUAAAAAAGGACAUAGGAUUUAUUAAAUGCAUAAAUGGUAUUGUCAAUAUGUCUGGUGAGGUCCAGCAUUCUGGUCACCAAAAUAUCAAUGUCUGUCUUCCCUCACUGGCUUUACUUUAUAUAUUAGUUUUUAUUUUACCUCUCAGCCUGGAUAAAAAAAUUUUGUGGCACUCUGAAUUAUAAAAUUGAUUUUAUCUUAAAUUCAAUUUUUUUUAAUAAUUUCAUACUUCUCUAUACUACAAACAGUAAAUUUUAAAGUUUUUUGGCUUUCAUAUAUAAAAUAUUAACUCGAUACGUGGUUAAUAACUUUUGGAAUAAUAAUUUUAUAUUUUUUUUACUUUUUAAUAGGUGUUUAAUUGAUCUAAUUUUAUAAGUUGAAGUAUUCAACUGAUCAAAUAAGUAUUUAACAAGAAUAAUUUUAUAAGUUAAAGUGUUUAACUGGUCAAAACAAAAGUUGAGGGUGUCACAAUUUUUAUAAAAAGUAUAAAAAUAAAUUUAUGUAUUCAACUGUUUUUAUUUGUUAAAAAAUUCUAAAAUUUUUGUUUUUUAUUUUUGCCCAAAAUUUAAGUAAAUCAAUUUUAUAAGAUGAAAUUUGAAUCUUAAAUUGAGGAAAGGGUGAUUUUUUUUAAUCAAAUUAAAUAUUCUACAUAAAUUUUUGAUUCAUUAGAAGUUCAACCAAGCGAAAAACACGACAUAAUAAAUAUAGUUUUCUCUUGAUGCAUCAAAUUAAUUAAAACUUUUAUAGCCGACCGACCGGACUCCAGACUUCAAAAUUUCUUACUCCUGAGACGACGGAGGGAGAAGGGCUAGGUGGCCACCCUGGCUUUGAUAAAUGUUUUUAGUACAUCGUCUUUGCGCAAAACUCUUUGCUAUCUUAGUUGCCCUGAUGCUUUCACUCAAGUCAUUGGACUUGAGUUUGACCCUCAAUUUAAAUAAGAUUUUAUUUUAUAGUUAUAUUUUUAGUUUGUUUUUAUAAAUCGUAACAAAAUAACCGUAUUCCUCUAUAUUUGUAUUUUUUAUUUUGGGAUAGUUCAUUUAUAAAAGCUAUCCACGAAAAAGUAAAUAUUUGAUUUGAAAACUAAUGCUCCGUUUGUUUUUGUAAAAUAACUUAUAUGAAAAUAACUUGUUGAAAAAUAUUUUCUAUGAAAAAUAUUUUUCAAAUGACUUAUUUUCCGUUGUUUGGUUAUAAUUUUAAAAAUUAGUUACAAAUAUUAAAAUUUUUCUUAUAAGACCAUAAAAAAUAUUAAUAAUAAUAUUUAAAAAUUUUAUUGUUAAAUAUGAGAAAAAUGUAAAAAAUAUAUAUAUAUAAAUUAUGAAAGCCGCUGGUAGCCGGUGGCUGGUGGUGGUGCCUGAUGGUGGUAGCUGGUAGUGGUGGUCGGUGGUAAAUGAUGACUGAUUGGACUUACUACGAUGAUUAAUAAAUUAAAAAAAAUAUGAAUUUAUAAGAUUUAUCAAUGUCUGAAAAAUAUUUUAUUCUCUCAAAAAUAAUAAGUUAUUUUUCUUAAAAAAUGACUUUAUUUUCCUUUGACCAGGAAAAUAUUUUCUGUUGUCAUUAAAUAUUUUUAUCAUUAAUUUUAAAUUAAAGAGAACAACCAACAAGUAUUUUUGGUUGUCAUUAAAUAUUUUUAUCAUUAAUUUUAAUUUUAAACUUUAUUUAAUUUUAGUUUAGGUUUGAUUUCAUUCUAUGAAUGUACAAAACUUCAUAUAAAUAUUGAAAUAUACAAUAGCGUUAUAAAUUUAUAAUUCAAUUCAAUUAUUUAUUGUUGGUCAUGUAGAUAAAACUUAACAACUUGAAAAAAUUUUAGAAUUUUAAAUUCAUUGAGUAAACACAUGAUAUUUAAUUUAUUCAUUUAUUCAGUGAGAUGGAUUUAAUAUUAUAGCUCAUAAUUCUUUUUAAUAUUUUAAAAUUAAUAUAAAAUUAAAUUGAUCAAAUUUUAAAUUUAUUCAAAGUUGAUUUUUUUUUUACUAUAAAUGAUAGUUUAUGAUGUAUUUUCAUAAUUUUAUUUGCUUUAGUAAAUAUUUUAAAAAUAGCAUUUUUAAAUUUUUUUUAAAAAAAGAAACAGUUCUUGUAAUAAUAAUUUAAAUAAAAUUAUCAAAUAAAUUCUAAUAUAUAAUUAACAUUAAUAUUUUUAAAAACUAUGUAAGUUAUAACUUCAUGUAAUUUUAUGAAAAACUAUAUAUUUUCCAUAAUAAUACAUCAAUAUCAAAUUAUAUAUAUGUUUUCAAUAUUAAACCAUUUAUUUCGAAGUAAAAUGAUGAAUACACGAAAGGCAAUAAAAAAAACAAGACAUGAACUAACUCGACCUCUUGCUCAAAAAAAUACUUUAAUUAACUUAAAAAUUACAAUAAUGUAUUUCAAAUUUUAAACACUAAUAGUUAUUUUUAUUGUAAUUUUUAGUAUGAAAAAUUUAGGAAAUCAUUGUUUCUUUUCUAUUGAAAGUUAAUAUUUAUAUCAAAUAUCUUUAUUAUUUUGUGGCUAAAAACACUAUUUUUAUUAAAAAUAUUUUUGACCAUGUGUAAUGUAUAUUUGCUUGUAUGAAAUGAUAAAAUACAUUUUUGUCCCCCAAGAAAAAAUCAUGGCUAGUUGGCAAUAUCCUAAACAAGUUGAAAGUAAAAAUUAAGUACUAUUCCAUCUAUUUAACCUAAAUACGAAUGCAUUGCAAAGAAGAGCUUUCACCAAAUAUAUUCAUACCUCAUUUGAUUUAUGAAUAUGGCUUGAGUUGAUUUUAGAUUAAUUAAUAUUAUUUUGAUGGGCAAAUUAAAUUUACUUCAACAAAUUAAUUCAAUAAUUUUUUUUUAAAAAAAUAAUAAUGCAAUAUUAAUUAACAUGGCUAAUAAACAUGCACACACAACGCACGAAAUUGGAGAAUACAAAAGUGCAACAUAGUAUAGGAUAAGCUUGCAUAUUGAUUUCUAGUCUCAUUUCCAAUUUGGUUUUUUUUUUUUUUUUUAUUAUAGUUGUGUGUGGUAACAAUUUUUUAAAUAUUUUUUUAAUAAAUAUUAUUUUUUAUAAUAUGAAGUAACAUAGCAUUUGAAAUAUUUUUUAAAAAUUAAGAUAACCCGUUGGCCGGCCCUCCCCUAGAUUUUAUAGCAUUUCUUAACAUGCCUUGAUCUCGUUAUUUUGGUCACGUGACUCCUAUUGCUCAAGUUUGAGGUACUGGGAUCAAAAUCGUGCUGGCUGAAGUUCUGUUUAUUUUUUUUUAUUUAGUUAUUUACUUAGUUCUUAUUUACAAAAAAAAAAAAAGUUUUAGUUAAUUUUUAUAUAUAUUCAAUUAAUAUAUAUAUAUAUAUAAAUUUCGAACUCGGACUCCGUUCCUGCCUAUAAGCACAUAAAAUUUCAUAAUUUUAAUAAAUUAUUUUUUGUUUCCAUUAAAUGAUUUAUAUUAUUAAUUUUCAUUUUAGGUUAUUUAAUUUUAUAUAUUUUUUUAAAUUUUAGUUUUGAAUUUGAUUUCAUUCUAUGAAUAUAUAAAAUUUACAUAAAUAUUAAAAUAUAUAAUAGUGUUAUAAAUUUUUAUUUCAAUUGUUUAUUAUUUGUUAUUUAAUUAAAAUUUAAAAAUUUGAAAAAAACUUUAGAAAUUUAAAUUUGUUGAAUAAACACAUAUGAUAUUUAAUUUAUUCAAAAAAAUAAAUUUAAUAUUAUAAUUCAUGAUUCUAUUUUAAUAGUUUUUAGAAAAAAAAAAUAUAAAAUUAAAUUGAUUAAAUUUUAAAAUCACAAUAACGUAUUUAAAAUUUUAAAUACUAAUAUUUAUUUUCACUGUAAUUUUUAAUGUGUAAAUUUUAGGAAAUUAUUUCUUUCCUAUUGAAAGUCAUUAUAUAUAUUUAAAAAAUUUUUAUUUAUACUAUUUUCAUUAAAAAUAUUUUGAUCACAUGUAUAUUUGUCCAUGUAAUUACAUUAUUUUUAGGCAUUUUUUUAUUCAGGUUUAUUUUUUAUUCACCUAUCAAGACAAAUAUAUUUUCGCCUCCCUAUGAAAAAAUAUUGCCUUCGUCAUUGCUAACCCCUAUUUAACUUUUAAUAUUUUAUGAAAAACUAUUUAAAUAGCUACUAAGACUUGAACAACUACUGACACUUAAACGCUAAUAAAAUAACUAAUUUCCUGAACAUACUCUACCUUGAUGUUUUUUAAUUCUAGCAUCUAGGCAUAAUCACGGUUCCAGAACCGCUGGUUUCGAUUUUUAAACCGCUGGUUUCAGUUUCAGAAAAGAUGAAACCAAAACUAAACUACUUUUAGACGGUUUUAAAGACGAUUUUAAGACCACCAGUUCCGGUUCAGUUUCGGUUUGAAACCGAAUUUGGAUAACUUUUUUUAACCUUUUUAAUUCUUUUUAGCUAAAUAAGAAAAUUAAUAACAAAUAACAAUAUUAAAUUAAAAAAAGACUAAAAUAGUAAAUUAAUAGUUUUAAAAUUUAUUAAAAAAUUAUAACUACACAAAACAUCAAUUUAAAAUUCUUUACUAGUAUUUAAUUUCUAUAAAUUUAAAUUGAGAGACAUGUUAAAAAAUUGACUUGUACUUAAUUUAUAUUAGGAGAAAAUAAAUGAUAGGAGAAAUUCAAUGAAGUUUAGAGAAAAAAAAUUGAUAUUGUGAAAAAAAAGCAAGAUUAUUAAGGUAUUUAUAGUUAACAUAUAAAUUUUUAUUCAUAAAAAUACCCUUCAAAUUUUCCGUUUUUUUACCGUUAUAAAGGAUAAAAAUCUCCUUUAAUUUAAUUUAACAAUGAAUAAAAAAAUAUCAUAAUAUGAAUUUUUUAUUUCAGAAUAUAUCUUUCAAAUUGCCCUUUUUUUAUCGUUAUAAUGGAGAAAAAUAUCUUUUUAUUUUAUUUAAAAGUCAAAAAUACAUCUUAAAUAAAUAUUGUUUAAUUUAUAUGUAAAAAAUAUAUAUUAUAAAGGGUAAAAGAUUUAAAUUAAAAAUAUUUAAAUGAGGAGCGAUUUUUUUCUCUUUUUCAAGUUAAAAUUUAUGGGUUAUAUUUAUAUUAAUAAAUUUUAAGAUGAUAGUAAAGUUAUUGCAUUUAAUGAUGAAAAUUAAAAUUAAUUUAACAAUUAAAAAUCAAGUGUGAAGUGUGAUAUUUUCUAUUUUUUAAAAUGGUUUUAAAUCAGAACCACCGGUUUUAAUUUAACAUAUAAGGAACUGCAACCAAAUCUUAAACCGCCAGUUUUGGUUACGGUUUGAAACCUUGAAUCAUUGACCACGGUUUUGUUUCGAUUUCAGUUCGGUUCCAGUUCAAAAUCGAACCGUGGUCAUGCCAGGAUCAACUCUAAACUGUCAACUAAUUUUAAUUUCAAAAUCCCAAGAAAAGAACCAUAAUUUAAAUAGACCAUCUAUCCCAACUUAGUUCAAUUCAAAAUUAAACUUUUUCAAUCUGGACUUGUCUAGUCAGAUUUUGAUCCAAACAAAACAAAUGGCAACCUCUACAAUAGGAGAAUAAUAAGUUUUUAUGUUGUAAAGAAAUAAUGACAUGAAGAAAUCUUAAUUUUAGGCAUCACUUGUGCAAUGACAUUUGAGGCAUCUAUUGCCCAGCCAUGUGAAAAAGACCAAUACAAGAAUAAAAUGUUUGGUGAAAUGAGAGAAUUCCAUUUCUGUUUUAUUAGUUGUUAGGUAACCAAAUAAUAAUUUAGAACAUCAAAUGAGUGGCACUUAGCCUUACACGCAUCCCAUUGUUGUUUGUCCAAUCAUAUUGUUCACAUGGUUCUUCACAAACUUUCUAUCUCUAACAAUGAGAUUGUACAAGUUCAAAUACGUUGUUUUUUCCCCUACUCAGAGUAGAAGUGUGUGAUAUAUCAUUUUCAUCCAUAAUGUGUUGUUAGUUUGCUAUAAAGUAAUUAGCUAGGGACCACGUGUAGUCUGGUUGAUCUUCUCACUUUUUAUGAGAAUAUGAGAAAUAAAUAAUCUCGAGUUUGGAUUUUAAUGAUAACUCACUAAUGAAGGAUGACUAUUCCUUGCCUGAUAAUAUUAUUUUAGUCUAUUAAAACUUUCCAUAAAUAAAAAGGUUAGGAUAUAAAAUUUAUCUAAUGUAAUUAUUGACUGUUUUUCUACAACAAUUUAGUUAGGUAGUAGAAGAAAAGAAACAAUAUGUUAACCAAUAACUGAAUAAGAAAUUUGUCAUUAAAAUAUAACCUAAUUUUGUGACUUUUCUUUUUGAGGAAAAAUUUUGUGACCCUUUUUUUUUUUGUUAAAAGUAAGUAAACUAGGAAUUUUAUUAAUUGGGAGAAAACUGUAUAUAGAGGUGGAUAUACAUCAAUAUGUUUUUAUAUUUUUAUAUUUUUAUAUAUGAAAUCUAAUAAUAAAUCACUUAUACAAACAAAAUAAAAACACCAUCUUGAUUUGAAAGAGCAUAAAAUAUUUGUUAUAGGCGAUCGCUUGCUUUACUUGUUGGCUAUUCAUUGUCACUAUUCGAUUCCAUAAUUUUUCAGAAAAAUAAUGUCAUACUAUUUUAGCGAGACAAAGUUGGUAGCUGUUCAUAGAUAUUACUUUUCUUUACUAUUCAUAUCUUUUGAAAAUCAUGUAUUUAGGUUUUAGAUUGAUCACGACACAAACCAAAUCAUUUCAUAUCUCAACAAAAGGAAAGCAAGCUACCCAUCUUCAUCAUUGGAUCAUAUCUCCGACAAACAAAUAAGUUUUAUUAAAAAAAAAUAAGUUUUAUAAGUUAAAAAAAGAAAUAGUUUAAUAUUUAUUAUGUUGAUAAUUUAAAAGAAUUAUAUAUUUUAUUUCAUAAUUUCAAUUCGUCCAAUUGAAUGCAUAAAUUAUGUAGUUUUCGAAAAAUAAAGCCUAAGUUAAAGUAAAUUUGUUAGGUUACCUAAUGACCUACAUAACAGUAGAGAUGCACAUUUGGUUUGACCGAACCGAAUUGAUUAAGUUCGGUGUGACCGAAUAGAUUUUAUGCUUACCAAAAUUAGACCGAAUACUAUGAAAAUCAGUCAGCAUUGAACCAAACUAGAUUGGUUUGGAUUUGAUUCAAUUAAUUUGAAUCGAAUCAUCUCUUUUGGACUUAAAAAUAAAUUCGAUUAGCUAUGCAAAUGACCGAACCAAAAAAUGAAAUUCAUUCGGUUAUUAAUAUUCAAAUCGAACAAUAACUUGAUAUCUUAAAAUCUAACCAAACCAAAUUGAAAUUAGUCUAUUCGGUUCGGUUAUUCGGCCCGGACCGAGUACUACUUACCCUUACAUAACAAGGCUAGCAAUUCCCUUGACAUACCAAAUUAAUGAAAACUGUUAUAAUUGAGAAAAAUCAAAUUUGAGACUUCUCACUCUUUACAUUAGUAAAAAAAAACCAAUAAGACUACGCCUAAUUGACAAGUAACAAUUUCUUUGUAAAGAUAUAAACAACAAAAUAACAUAUUUAUUCAUUAAUAACAUUUUAUAUAGGGAAAAUUUUCUAUUAAAUUAAAGAAAACAUUUUUUUGUUAGAAUAUUAAACAUAUUUUUUCCCAAAAAUAUUCAUUUAAUUUAUACUGGUAUGGUAUUAAAAUAAACAUUAAAUAUAUAGGGACUCAAAAAAUAUGAAAUGUGAAAAAAAUAACAUUAUAUAUAUAUAUAUAUAUAUAUAUAUAUAUAUAUAUAUUUCUAUUUAGGAACACAUGAUUUUAUUCCUAAGAUCAAGCUAUAUACACGUUCUUUCUUAUUUUACAUUCUGUUAACAUAACAAUCGUUUGUUAUAAAUGUAGUCAACCCGUACCCAUUCAAUGCUGUUGUGAAAAUAUCACUUAAUCGUUCUCCAAUCUCGACAUGUCCAAUAGAUUAAUUGGGGACUCAAAUAUCAUCGUACCAUCUUAGUAUUCAAUAAUUCAAAUUUCUCUUAUAUCCCUCUCAACCAUUAAAAUACAAAGUGUCUUUGUUCCCAAAUCUCUAUCUCUUUCUCUCACACAUAACACUCUCUCAAAACCCCAAACCAGAGCAAUAAUGUCUCGCCACAGACGGCAAGCAUCUCAAGUUCUUCCGCCGGAGUUACUGACCGGCGAUGAGUCUUUAGGAGACUUACUAGGGCAAGCAACGGCAAGAGUUCAAGGCAUUACUGCUAUAAAUGAGAAAUCCACAAAUCCUUCCAUAACUCAGCACCAUCAAGAGCAAUCCACAACUGCUACUGCUACUGGUACAGCCUCUCAUUUUCCGGCCAAGAAGCCUCCUCCAGCCGGAAAACCUGCAUGAUUCACGGAGGAAGUUGCAGGUUCAGUUCAGUCCAAGAAAUCUGGAGUAGUCUUAAUAAUUUCUGCAUCUCUGUCUCCUCUUAUCUUUGGUUGUAAUCUUGCAUCUUUCUUUUCUUUUUCUUUUUUUCCUUCUGCUUUAAUUUUGAAGAAAAAGAACUUUUCUCACUCCAGCUUGUUAUUAUUUAUUUAUUUAUUUUGCUGCCAUGAAUAUUUCUAUCCGGUAUUUAAAGGUUGACGAGAGAAUAAACCCUUUCAGGCUAACUUAUUACAUUAUUUAAUAGGAUUAAUCAAUUUUUGUUUUUCUGCUAAAAAAAAAAAGGUUUAAUCCAGAGUAACCAAGGUUAACUGUUGUGUUAGAAUAUGCAUUUUGAUUAAUUAAAAAUUGUGAAAAUUUUAAGCUGGGGCUCACUGCACACUACUUUCAGAAAAUGAAAUUAUCAGUUGUCUCUUUCUUGAUUCCAAA